UUUUUUUUUUUUUUGGUUUUGUUUCACAUCUUUGGUUUCAUCGCUAACCGUCUUUGGUUGGAUUUAGUCAUUUUGGGAGUGCAUUUAGUCUUACAAUAAGAUCUUUCAAUUGUAGUUAUAAUUGUUGGAUCGUUACAAUUAAUAUUUGUUGGAGAGAAGAGGGAAUAAGGAUAAAGAUCGUGUUUUGAAUCACUCAAGAAAAUUGCAUAUGCAGAUAUUUCUCUUUCUAACCAAACAAUCACUAUUGUUCUAUCUACAUUGAGAUAUGACAUCAUCCAGUAUCUUACUGCUACUGUUCUUCUUUUAUGAAGUCUUUAAUGUCUUGCUUGCUUGUUAAAACAUGCUUAGAAGUAGAUUAUGGUGGAUUAGUUUGAUUAUAUCUAUCUACCUAUACAUACAAUAAAAAGAUAAAAAGAUGGUGCAAAUACUGUAGUAGCCUAUCUAUCUUUGUGACAAGUGACACAGCUCCCUUUUGAGAAAAUUGUGUUUUUACCUUUUUUUUCCCUAUUUUUUGACAGCCGUAUUGAUGCCAACUUAAUAAUUUCCAUCUGUUUUUACGUAAAUUACAUGGACUUGUCCUUGCUUUUAAGUCCAAAAUAUUAAAUUUAUUUGGUUUAGUAAUGUGAUACUUUAGGGAAUUGUCUGUCCCACCAAAUAGGCAAUAGUUCUUGAAUCCAAAAUAUCAAAUAGAAUCAAGAGAACUUGUUAGGAAGGCACCAUAAUACAAAUUAAGUUUUAAUGUUCAUCCAUAGUCAUAUUUGCAAAAAAAAAAAAAAAAAUUCACAAAAUAAUGUGUUUACUUAUUCACCUCUUUAGUUGUCAUUAUUUACACACAUUAAAAAAUCUCUUCUUAUAAAAUCAAACCUCUUUAGUUGUCAGCGUUGCAUACUUGCAUUGUUUUCUGAUUUGAUAAGUGAAUAUGUUAAUAAGAUCUUAUUACUCAGGCAAACUGCUCUAUUCCUUUGAGUAGCCAAAAGCCUCUUGUAAGUCCUAAAUGGUACUUAGAUACAAAAGUCUUUCCACCUGCACUUUGAUUUGUUCUAAGAAGUAUGAAUAUCAUAUCAUAUAGCCAUUUGACAAUAAUUACUAUUACUUUCCUGCGUCUCCGGAAAAUAAUUACUACUUUUGUUGCCUCUUCUUCACCUUAGUAACCAAAUGCAGAGUUUUAACAGCAGUAAUCUUCUUUUAUCUCAACAAGCAUCCUUUUUGGCAUUAUAACACAGAGACUAUUUGAAUACAGUGACUGCCCUUUAUCUGAGAUGAGAAAACAUCUUUCUGGCAUUUACCAAGUGACCACUACACCGGUCAGAAAAUUUAAGAGAAUUCUUCGACAAAAUCCAUCGAAGAAGCUUUGUUUCUGUUGCUUCAACUACCAAAAAAUGCACUUCCUAGAAUAUGCCCGCAGCAGACUUAAUUCAGUUCAGUAUUCAGAUAUGAAAACAGAAUGACAGACACAGCCGAAACAAAUUGAAUUAUGUCUUAAAAUAUGUUUCGAAUGCAUAAGGAUUUUAUGUGAACUAAAUCGAUUUAGAUAACUAAAUAGGCUAUUCGCAGAGCACCUUUAUUCUUAAUACUCACAUUCACCUACAGAAAGCAUCUGAUAAGUAAUAAAUUUCAUAAUCUGCGGAUGUGUGUCUCUUGACUGUUGUGUAAAUCACCCAUUCAUCGCCCUUCAACCAUUGAAACACUGACUUCGUUGAUGGAAUCAUUGCAUAAACUAAUCCCUGACUGACAAUUAUCUGAUUCCAGCAAGCUUUGGAAUGUAAAUGUAGGUUCUCUUGGUUGAGGAAGUUCUAUUUCACUCUCAGAACUGCUUAGCAUGAGAACUACAUUAGCCAUUGUAGGCCGAUCUGUAGGAUGGUCUUGAACACAAAGAAGCCCAACUCGAAUGCAUCUCAUUACUUCUGAUGGGGUGCAAGAAUUAGUCAGUGAUUCAUCCAGCAACUCUGGAGCUUUGCACUCAUUCCAUAAUUGCCAUGCCUGAAUGAACCAUUUCCAAUUGUUAAGAAACCAUUUCGAGUAAGCAAGCUGUAGUUAGGCUUGUCAUAUUAUUUAUCUUGUAAUCUCAAUUCUUAGACAUGACUGGACUUUUGUAUGAUCAAGCUAAUUUUAAACAGUGAAUGAGUUUGCACUUACAUAACCAAGAAGGCUUAUAUGUUUUUCGUGAUAACCAAACCCAGUAUUCUUCUUGCUACUGACUAUUUCCAGCAAUAAGACUCCGAAGCUGUAAACAUCAGAUUUUUCUGAAAAUACCCCUCCCAUGGCAUAUUCUGGAGACAUGUAGCCGCUGCAAUUACAUUGAAACAUGAAAUGUGUUACUAAUAUAUGUCACACAUCUGUAAUUUAAGCACAUUAAUCCGUGUAAUAGAUAUCAAUUUUCUUUAUGUUUCUUUCUUUUUGGUUGGUCAUGAAAUCAGGGCACACAGCCUUUAGGUGCUACAGAGAGAUAAUAUUCAUGCUAUCCAAAUCAGGGGCAUUCUAUGAGAGCUUUUUUCCCUUUUCGGGCUCUACGGUUACUUGCUGGAGGUGUAAGCUUUAAUGUAUACACGAAAAAGUUAACCAAUUUGUUCAUGAACAUAACUAGAGCACCAACAAACAGGGGAAUUUCGGGAUUUAUUAGCAGAUAAUCAGAAUCUACUGAGGAAAAGCAAAGACUUACAAAGUUCCCACAACCCUGCGGGUGUUGGCUAGUUCUUGUGUGACUUGGAAAGUUCGUGCCAGGCCAAAGUCUGAGAUUUUGGGGUUCAUGUCAUCAUCCAAGAGAAUGUUGCUGGCCUUUAAAUCUCUGUGAAUAAUUCUUAAACAAGAAUCUCGAUGGAGGUAUAGAAGCCCUCUGGCAAUGCCCUGAAUUAUGUUGAAGCGUUUUUCCCAAUUUAGCUCCAACCUCUUUGUUCGAUCUGCACAUUGUCCACGGUCCGCAGGCACAAUUUAAUUUAUGAGUCCAAAAGGACAGUCCAUAAUAUGUACCAAGUGAUGUUCAACGAUAAGAGAAGAAUAAACGCUGCUCUUUUUGGCAAAUUGGUUGCAGUUUAAAGCUACUCUUGUAUGUUUCUAACUGGAGAUAAAUUACAGAACCAGAAAUCUAGCUUCAAUGUUAUUUUUUAAGUUUGCACAAGGUUCUAGAGCUCAAGGGACAUCUACAUAAUGCAAACACAUGAAUUCUCCAAACCUUAGAAUAUAUUUGGGGAGAUGGCAAUGCAGAUCAUACUAUUUUGAAAUGAAAUGAGAAGUGUUUGCUUUCACAAAACUUGCCAAAGACCCAAGAAAGCAUCACAGGCGGGGUGAGUUGAGGAUGGAUUGAAUUUUCAAGUGAUUAAGUUAUGGUAUGGAAAUUAAGGUAGCAGUAGCUGUAUAAUAAUUUUGUGUGUACAAGAAUAUUGGAUGAAACAAUAUUAUGAAGCAUAAAGUAGAUCACUUUUAUGUUAAAGGUUCGUGAAUACAAAAACUUGUUUGAUUUUUACAUUAUCAGCUUUGCUUUAUACACUUGACUGACCAUCGUACAGUUUGACCAGUUGGGCAAAUUGAGUACCAACUUUGCAGCCCUUGAUCCUCUGGCAGAUGUAUGCAUUGGAAUUUACAUUAAACUCUAUGGGCUGAAGUAAAAGAUCAGCAAAAAAGAAAAGCCACUAAUAUUUCAGCAAAGAAAUAGGAGAGCAUUUACCAAAGAGGAAUUUGUCCAAGCUCUUGUUUUUCAAGUAUUCAAGAAUUACUGUCUUUUCUUCUCCCUGAAUGCAGCAGCCCAACAGCCUGACAAGGUUUCUAUGCUGAAGCUUAGAUAUCAAGACAACCUCAUUUUUGAACUCCUCCAUGCCUUGUCCUGAAUGACGCGAAAGCCUUUUCACGGCUAUUUGCUGUCCAUCUUCUAAUCUCCCCUGCGUGGAAUUCGGUUAAGAAAUUUACUAAUGAGUUUUCUCUGUGCCUUGAGCUAAUCAAGUGUCCAGAUACUUGUUUUGAUGCUUGGAAUGAUAUUUACCUUGUAAACUGCGCCGAACCCUCCUUCACCAAGCUUGUUAGCUUCACUGAAGUUGUCGGUGGCAAUCUUUAUCCUAUUGAAAUCGAUCGCUGGAAGCUCCAAUGACUCAUUUGCCGAUGCGGGACUUUCCUGGAUAUCAUCUUGUGAGGUAUCUCUCAAAGUGCCCUUUUUCUUCUCAGACACCACGAGAUCCUUUAGCAUGCACAAUUUUCUGAUGCCCUUUAUUAUGCACCAUUUUCUCGUCCUCGCUCUGAAGAUCGUUAUAAGCAUAACUGCCGAUACCUCAAAAAUAACUGCAUACAAAAUUAUCAAUCAGUUCCUUUUCUGAGUUGUAGACACUAGGAAUGGUUAAAUUUCUGGGGCAGCGCUGUUAAGUUUUUUUUUUUUUUUUUUCAUUUCAUAAAUAAGAAAAAAACGAAAUUUUUAAUGAUGAUAAGCGUUUAAACAAUAGGAAUUAGCCCCUCUUUACAUAUAUAUGAUAAAAAAGAGUACUUCAAGUCAUAUUUUUCUAUUUGCAGUGUUAAUACUCUUGUUAACCAAAAAAAAAAAAAAAAACCUCCCAAUAAACUGUGAGCAAUAGGCGAACAUUAGUUACCUCUUCUGUUUGCUUCAAGAAUUUGUGCACCCAAUGAAUGCUUGAGAUCUCUUUGUUAUUCUUCUUCUGCCUUUAGCCCUUUUUUGUCUGCUACAGCAUGAGAAAUGAAGACAAAUGGUCAAUAUACAUGGUAAAUAAAUGAAGUCGACUCUAUUAUUCAACUUUGCGCACUGCAAGGUGGCAUAAUUGGAUAUCAUUUCCUUGCAUAAUUCUAUUGUUAUGUCAAUAAUCAUGAGAUCACUCAGUCCCUACCCAGAUUAUCUUGAGCACAAAUAUGCUAUUAAGUAUUGACUGGGGUGGUUCCAUAAAAGAUAAUGCCUUGAUCUCUGUUACUUCUCAGCUUAAGCAUUUUUCAGAAAGGAACCUGCACCUGUCCUAGUUGUUCACUCUGUCAACCAAAAUAAAGAGUUAGCAACGUGUACAUCAGCUAGAUCAGGCAUUCAAAUCGUUGAAUAGAGAAAUAAAAUAUCCAUCUUAUGAUAUGAAGAGUAAAGCAGAAUAAAGAAAAGCCAAAACAGAGUGCGGAUAUGAAUUACUGAACAAUUUACAUAAUAUGUAGCUUAAUUAGUUGAGUCGUUGACCAUUGGUUACUUGGUGUUUAAGCACGGCAAGUAACAGGCACCUUCAGCAUUAUUAAAGUUGGACUGGUGGAAGUACUUUACACUUGAACAUCAGUCUUCAGCUUCAUGAAUUGAAGGUUGCUUGUAAAUUGGAAGUGUUUCCUUCGUAGACAAUAAUCAAAAGAACUUCUGUAAGAGUUAGAUUUUUUUGGAUAAAUUACUUAUUACCCCGUGAUUUUAUAUAAUGCUAGAUGAUCCCCCUAAGGUUUUAAAAUAGCCAUAUAACCCCUCUGUGACUAUAUACAAAGUGAAAAAAUGGAUGGAAUGCAUAUGAGUUAAGGCAUUUAUAUCAAACACGCUUUAAAAGUGCAUAUGAUAAAAUCUUAAUAUCCAUAUAACCUCCUUAUGAUUUGUAUAAAUAUUCACUUUACCUCCUGUGAAUUUUGCAUUUGUCUACAUAAUCUCCCUAUACUUUUAUACAAGAUGGUUAAACCAUUGAUUGAUUUAGAAUUUAAGUAAGGAAACUAUUACUAUUUCAACUAAUGACAUUACAUAAGCUACUUUCUAUCAAGUUUCCAAAAAUUAUUGGGGGUAAAGUGGAUAUUUUAAAAUAUUAGAGGGGUCAUGUAGCAAUAGAUGAAACCACAGGAGGUUGUAUGUAAUUUACACUUUUUUUAUCUCUGAUCUGAUGAGAGGAAAUGGGAACUUUUACGUGCAUGAUUUCCAUGCAAUUUGCAAAUUGUACACUGUGGAUGCUAGUUGAAAAUGGAGGUGCUUAAAUUUGAAUGUAUUUUUGGCCAACCCUGAAUUUUGUGAAGUAAAUUGUUUAUCCACCGAAUGCCAAUUUUCAGAGAGGAGAAGAGAUCAGAGUGAUUGUUAAAUAUUGAAAAUUUUUGUUAUUUGAUAAAUCAAUCAUCGUACCUGAUGAUGUGCGCUCCAAAAACAUGAACGUUCAGUUUUCCCCUUACUUGGUGCUUUUGCAUGCUGAUGGGACAUUUACGUGUCAAAACAGUGGAACUUCAGCUUUCACAAACGAGUUAUAUGACAAGUUGUUGAGGAUGCCAAACCUUGCAUUAGAGUGGAGGAUUCCUUUAGAUAAGAUCUACUAAUUUGUUUCCUUAAUUUUUUAUUUAAGGGCUACCCCGUGUAUAAACUUCAGUUCUACAUCAAAAAUAAAAUGAUUCUUUUUCUUUACCCACAAAAAAAGAAAAAACCUCUGGGGCUAAAUAUACCAAAAAGGAGCUCAACAGGCUAAGUAAGUCCAAAAGCAAUCUGAAUCUUGCUUACGGAAAACAUAUGCUACGCACUAAAAUUUGUAAUCUCUCUAAGGUUACUGUUGUGUCUCCUGACUCUCGUCCUUGGUUCAUCGUCCUUGAACCAUUGAAAUACUGAUUUCGUUUAUGGAACCGUUGCAUAAGCGAAUGGCUGAUUGAAAACGAUCGGAUUCUUGCAAGUUUUGAAACGUAAAUGUAGGUUGUCUUGGUUGAGGAAGUUCCAUUUCACUCUCAGAACUGCUUAGCAUGAGAACUACAUUUGACAUUGUAGGCCGAUCUGCAGCAUGGUCUUGAACACAAAGAAGCCCGAUUUGAAUGCAUCUCUUUACCUCUGUUGGGGUGCAAGAAUCUGCCAGUGAUUGAUCCAGCAACUCUGGAGCUUUGCACUCGUUCCACAAUUGCCAUGCCUGAAAGAACCAUUAAUUUCCAAAUGUUAAGAAACCGUUUUUGACGGCUUGUCUUUCUUGUUAAACGUAAUGAACUCUCAUCUGAUCUUGCUAUAAGUAAACAUGUAAGCAAUAUGCACUUACACAACCAAGAAGGUUCAAAUAUUUUUCGUGAUAUCCGAACCCUGUGUUCUUCUUGCUGCUGACAAUCUCUAGCAGCAAAACUCCAAAGCUAUAAACAUCAGAUUUUUCCGAAAAUUGCCCACUCAUGGCAUAUUCAGGAGACAUAUAACCGCUGCAAUUAAAAAGAACAUGAAAAGAUUAGCAACAUUUCACAUCUAUAUUUAAGCACAUUAUUAUCUUUAAGUUUAUUUCUAUUUUAACAUGGCAGAUAGGCUUUAGACGCUAAACGACGAUAUAUCUGCAGUCCUGCUCUAUGAAUCAAGGGCAUUCUUGUGUCCUUAAUGAAUCGAAUGACAACUAAUGAACUUCAAACUACGUUUUUUGUCAUCGUAUCAAAAAUUGUUUUGCCUGAAUAAUUUAAGUGAAGAAAAGGACAUUCUUUUGUUGAGUUAAAUGAUUGCACGUAUUUUUCAUUCAUGAAACCUUCAAGUUGUUCUUUGCUAAAAUCUCAAGAAACCAGCAGAUACACGCACGUUUAUCAUCAAAAAAAGCUAAACACUAGUACUUUUAUUAAAACAGCUAAAAUAACUUUGCUCAUUGAACUCAAUUUGUAGUUUGAUGCUUUCACAAUCAAUUCAACAGUGCCAAAUGGGCUAGGUGAUUAAUUUAGAAUAAUUUUCUCAAAUUGGAUGAUAAAAUUGAGAAUUUUUUUUUUCAGUUUGAAUGGCAAAAUUAAGAUUUUUAAUACCAAAACAAGACUUCCUCAAUUUCAGAGACCAAACUGAUAUGCUUUGCUCAUGUCAAGACCAAAUUGAAUAAUUUUCAGCUCAAGAGACUAGAUUGAAAAUUUGCACCAAUGUACUAAGACGAAACUAAUCCAGAAAACAAAGCCGCUAACCACGAAAUGGGGCAGGUACAAUUGAUCUUAGGUGCAAUUGGGGCGAUUGUAUUUUUUUCAUGAUUUAGUGUACACUCUAUGACUUUGUAACUUUUUUAUAUUUCAUGAUUUGACAUACACUCGCAUAACUUUUGUUGUACAUCAUGAAAUACAACAAAGUUAUGCGAUUGCAUGGUAAAUCAUAAAAAGGAGUAUAAUAAUCGUACUAAUUGUAGCUAUGGCUAGCCGCCCAAACCCUCCCCAGCCCUGUGCAGACAAAAGCACCAAAGAGCACUAGCACUGGGCAAUCGUGGGCAUGAAUUAGCAGAAUCUCCUGACUAGAGGCAAAAAGAAGACUUACAAAGUUCCCACAACCCUGCCAGUGUUGGCUAAUUCCUGUGUGACACGGAAAGUUCGCGCCAGUCCAAAGUCUGAGAUUUUCGGAUUCAUGUCAUCGUCCAAGAGAAUGUUGCUGGCCUUCAUAUCUCUGUGAAUAAUUCUCAAACAAGAAUCUCGAUGGAGAUAGAGAAGCCCUCUGGCAAUCCCCUGAAUGAUGCUGAAGCGUUUGGCCCAAUCUAGCUCCAGCCUUUUUGUUCGAUCUGCCCAUUUAUCCAAGACACAAAUUCAAUAUACGAGAGAAAAAGGCAAAGUCCAUAUUACAUGUUCCAAGUGACAUUCAAUGUACGCAGACGAAUACACACAAUGCUCUAUAUACUAGUAUGAAUGAUAAAUAUGAUUUUGCAUAUGGACUUCCAUGAAAGAUAAUUAUGAAACAAAAUAUUGCAUGAAAGAUAAUUAUGAAAAACUGUAUGAUUUUGUCUGUGGAUAAAUGUUGGAAGAAAUAUAAUUAUAGCUCUGAUUUUGGUUUUCUGAUCAUGCAUAAACUUGUUUAAAGUAUGUACAGUCAGAGGUAUUUUAUAAGCUCGACCGACCAUUGUGCACUUUGAUUAGUCGCAAAAGUUCGAUCCCAACUAGCGAUAGUCAUUGCAAAACAGUACAUUAGAACUUACGAAAAACUCCUGGCCUGAAGCAAAAAAUUUUGAAGAAAAAAAGAAAAGAAAAUUAAUUAUAGCUCAGUAAAGUAAAGGAACAAUAUUUACCGAACAGGAAAGUGUCCAAGCUUUUGUUUUUCAUGUACUCAAGAAUUACUAUUUUCUCUUCUCCUUGAAUGCAGCAGCCCAACAGCCUUACAAGAUUUCUAUGCUGAAGUUUAGAUAUCAAUAUAACUUCAUUCUUGAACUCCUCCAUGCCCUGUCCUGAGUGACUCGAAAGCCUUUUCACAGCUAUUUGCUGUCCAUCUUCUAAGCUUCCCUACGUGAAAUUCACAAAUUAUUCAACAAUGUCACCCAGGCCUUAAGCUAAUAUAAUGUUUGCAGGUACCUGUUUAGAUGCUUGGAAUGAUAAUUACCUUGUAAACUGUGCCAAAUCCUCCUUCACCAAGCUUGUUAGCUUCGCUGAAGUUGUUGGUAGCGAUCUUUAUCCUAUUGAAAUCAACUAUUGGAAGCUCUGAUGACCCCUUUGAUGAUGCAGGAUUUUCUUGGAUAUUGUCCUGUGAAGUAUCAAUCAAAGUGCCCUUUUUGUCAGCCAAGUGACCCUUUACUUUGCCCCUUUUUCUGAUGCUCUUUAUUGUGAACCAUUUUCUUGUCUCUGACCUUUGUUCCCUGAGAUGUCUGUCUGUGAUUGUAUGCAUAAGAAUAUCAGUGAUGAUUAACCUUUUCGGAGAUGUAAAUAUAAGUUGGCUUGAAAUUAGCAAUGGAGUAGUUAGAAUUCUGGGAAAAACGAAGGUAAGCGUAAGUAUCUUUCAUACUGAUUUGCAGCUAAAUGAUCAAAUAUAAUACGUAGUUUGAAUCAUAUUCAGUGUGUUAAUAUCUCUACACGCUAAGAGUAGUUGAUAAACAUGUUUACCUCUUCUGUUAGCUUUCCAUCUGCGGACACAACAUAUUAACACACCCAAGAGGAAACCAACCGAUAUGGAUACGAAGCUGACGCUGAUUGCUGUAUGUCUACUUUUUACUCCUGAAAAUUACAUUAAACAAAUUGUUGAAGAACAUAAUUCUAUAUUAUGUAGUACCAGUCCAGACUAGAUCUAAGUUACCUAGGUCUGAAUUAGCAAGGCGGAGGUAUAGAUCCUCCCCAGACUUCACGAAUUGCUGCAUGUCGAUAAGAUCUGUUACCCAAACCAGACACCCUAUACCAUCUGGAUAUGCAUAUGCCAGACAAGAGCAGUUGCUCAGGCACCAUUGGCUACACCCCCCUUGGUCAGUCUUAUCAUACAAAUACACAUAAUGAUCUGGUCAUUUCAUCUGACCGACCUUCCAGAAGCCAUCCGGUUUAGAUGCAUUGAAGCUUAAGUUGCUUCUGUUUUCAUUGCACAUCAACUCUGUACGCCUUACACAUCCACUUGUCCAAUUUCCUUUACUCCAUUCCUCAUUUGACCUAGGCAAGAACCCUUUCAGGCACUCACAAGUUGAAGCAUGGUUCCUGCUACAAACACUGAAGGGUCCACAAGUUCCGUAUGCAUCACAUGGACCCUGAGGUGCUGCAAAUAUAAAGUUCCAUUUAUUUUGCUCUCUUUCCUUGUACCAUACCUCUACCAUACCUGUCGUUGAAAUUACACCAAUUGAAACAUCAGAAUUGUCAAAGUUGUUGAAAGUCAUGGAUGCAGCUCCCAUAUGAUUAUUUGGUGUCACAAAUAGUCCAUUUGAAUACCCCUCGGCGAAGUCUUGUAUACCAGUGAACUUCCAUCCAUCCCAUGGACCUGAUCUCCAGUGUGGUUUUGUACCAUUCCAUGCCACAGACUGUGCUGGUCUUUCGUCUGUGAGUCCAUAAACAAAGUUUCCAGGUGCCGGAUCAUUCUCAUUUUUCCAGGCUGUCAAGAAGCUUUCCCGUCCAGUUCUGCUGUUGAAUCCUAUCUGCAUGCCUGCUAAAAUUGUAUCAGUAGGAUAAUAAAAACUUUCCCAUAUAGUUUCCCCUGAAACAUUAUCUUUAAGGUUGAAAUCCCCGUCAUCUUGGAGCACUGCUAUUGUGCUAUUAGACUGGACAGGGGCAUUUGCUGACCAGACAGUAGUUUGCUUUCCAUCUAUAAGCAUUAGAUUCCCAUGGCUGCUGAUUAUCAGCUUUGAAGCCAAGUCACCUUCUAACGGUGCAUUUUCCCGAUUUGCGACCCAAACAACUCUAUGAUCAAUAUCAUUCUUGUACCAGAUUCCAAUGUACAAUCUACUUGAAUUACCAGGACUGAAGAAUCCUAAUUCAAAGAUUUGUCCAGCUGAAAUUAGAGCUUGUCCUGCGUUGAGUGGUUGGGAUGGAGUUAGGGUGUCAUUUGAUGCAAAGCAUGUUGGUAAAAAGAAGUGGAUGUUAAAAAUCGCAAGCAAUGAUAAGCUAGCUAUAUCCCCGUACUUGUCCAUAUACUAUGCUAUUAGUCUCUGUAGUGGUCGUUGAGCCCAAAAGAGCCUCAAGAAUUUGUUCACCAAACAAAGUCUUGAGAUCGCUUUUGCCUUCUUCUGCCUUUAACCCUUCUUUGUAGUACACCAUAAGCAAAUGUCAUCGGUCAAUAUGCUUGCUCAUCAACAAAUUAACUUGACUGAGUUUUUGUUCAACUUUGCACCUUAGCAAGGUGGCUUAGUCAGAUACCAUUUUCUAGCCUAAUCUUUUCUUAUGUCAUGAAUCAUGAGGUCACUCAAUCCCUCCCCAGAAAAUGUUUACAAAAAUCUUUAAUUAACUGCUGUGGAUCCCUAAAAAUAAUGCUUUAUGUCAACCAAAAUAAACAGUUGUCACACUUGUAGAAAGGCUAGAGUAUGGUAUCAAAUCAGUGGAUUAAGCUAAACUUUAUUUCCUACACUAAUUUUGAUAUCAAUUCUAAUCUAGUUACCAACUAACUAAUCAUCUUUUACAACUACUAAAAGUUUAAGCAGCUUAGUUCAAUUUUUUUGUCAACAGUUCUGACGAUAGGAGGAGUGGAAAAAAAAAUAAAAAAGAACUGCAAAGAAGAGAAGGUGAAGUAAAUUUUGGGACCAUUUACGAGCAGUAUACUUUUAAGUUGACCGUUAACACUUGGUGUCUUCAGUUUCGCAAAGGGGAUGUUUCCUAUGGCAUUAUUAGGUUGGAUGAAAAGUUGAAGAUUGAUUGUAUAUUAGAAAUGUUUCAUCCAUAAAUUACAGCCAGAGAACUACGUUCGGAAGACUAGUCAUACUUAUGGAUCUCCAAUCGCAGAAAACGGGUUCCAGAACUCCAGUCAUGACUCAUUAAUUUAACGUGGGGUAAAUUACAUAUAACCCCCAAUGAUUUCAUCUAUUGCCACAUAAUCCCUUUAAUGUUUUAAAAUAUCCACUUCAUCCCUUUAUAGUUUUAUGUCAAGUAGAAACUUGAUGAAAAAUAUCCUAUGUAACGGCGCUAAUUGAAAUAUCAACAAUGUUCUUACUUAAAUGCUAAAUCAAUCAGUGGCUUGACCACAUUGUAUAAAAGAAUAAGAAGAUUACGUGGAUAAAUACAAAAAUUACAUGGGCAUAAAGUGGAUAUUUAUACAAAUCAUAAGGGGGUUACAUAGAUAUUAAGAUUUUAUCACGCGUGUUUUUAAAGCAUAUUUGGUAUAAACUCUGUGACUGAUUGUGAAUUUUAUCCAUUUUCCACUUUACACAAAACCACAUGAGAGUUAUGUGACUAUUUUAAAAGUUUGGGGGGGGGAGUGAUUUGGCAUUAUAUAAAAUCACAAGGGGGUAAUAAAUAAUUUAUCCUUUAAUGUGGAAUUUACAGAUGCAUCCUUAAUUAUAUUAAAGUGGAGGCCUUCACGUGGCAAAGCCAUACUGCAAGUUAACUUUCUGUGCUAGCAGAUUUAUAGUUUAAUGCUUAUCAUGCGAUUAAAGACUUCAAAAGUUAUAGUUUAAUGUUAUGCGGUUGAUCAAUAAAAGUUCUCCUUUGUUCAAAAGAAAAAAGAAAAAAAAAAGACUUCAAAAGUUAUAUUAACUCCUCAAAUGGAAGCCUUGUAACCCCCAGUUCUACAAUUAAAAGGAAAAACAAGACAUAAAACUCAAACUGUGAGUUGCCCGGCGGAGAUUAGAGUUUGUCCUAUCUUGAGUGGUUGGGAUGGAGAACAUGCUGGUAAAAUGAAUAAGAUGUUAAAAUGCACAAGCAAUAGUAAGCUAGCAAUAGCCCUCUACAUUCUUUUAUAUUGUGCUCUCUAUGCUCUUUACUGUCCCUUGAGGCCAAGGAGAAAAUUCUUAAUUUGUGAUGAAAAACAAAAGUUAUACUACAAAGGGGGUGAUUAGUGAAGCAGCUUCCACAAAUGUGAUCUUCGCAUUUGUGAAAUGCGAGUUCAGGUACCUCGCAUUUCACAAAUGCGAGGUAGGUGCUUUUAAAAAAAAAGAAAAACAAGCUACGGUUCUUCAGUUGCGAGCUCAAGAGCUCGCAUUUACAAAAUGCGAGCUUGUUUCCUCGCAUUUCAGAAAUGCGAAGUACUCAAGCUUUUUUGACCGAAAAUUGGAUUCUGACCGCAAUUGUCUAAACUCAAGCUUCAGCCGGUUCCAGCCUCCAAGACACGCUUCGGUUUCCCGCUUCAGCUCAAUUUCGAAUCUAAUUUCUCAGCUGCUACCCAUCAAUUCAUCACAGCUGGGUUCUGGUUGUCCCUUUGUCCGUCUAUUUUCGUUUCAUCUUCGCCGCUUCACCACACUGUUCGCCGCCGCUGCAUUUCUAAGCUGCUACCCAGCUCAGAUUAUACCAGGUUUGUUUAUCCUUGUUCCCUUUUUUUGUUUAAGUUAUGUCGUUGUUGAUUAUUGGUUUUUGGUUGCCCUUCCGUCCCCUCGGCCCUCUGUAUAAUGAAUAUGUACUGCUGUAAUUUUUAAGCGUAUGAUCCGAGCUCGAAUCUAUAAAACCCAGAAGGAUCCGACCUCGGAUCGUUUGAAACGCCAAAAAUUAAAACAGGGGAUCCGAGCUCGGAUCCUACAAGUUCCUGUUGUAUCCGAGACCUCGGAUAAACUUCUGUUAUAGUUGAUCCGAGCCAUGUCGGAUCCGAGGACUUUAUGAUCAGAUACGACCUCGGAUCUAUUUAGGUGUUGGUACUAAACAGCUAAAUUCCAGUACUUCACUGCUAAAUUGCACCAAAGGCCUAAGUAAAAGCCUUUUUCUUUUGGUAUUAUCUGAAAACUGGAGUAUAGUAAAAAAAAAAAAGCCCUCGGUCUUGAAGUUCGACAGCCUAUCUAAUGGUCCCUUCUGUCACUUAAUUCAGUAAUUGAACCAUGCCAUUGUGGAGUUGUAUUAUAAUCUGAUAUUGAAGCAUGUAGAAAGUUUCCCUUGCUUCAAGUACUUUUAUUUGGUUCAUUGGGACGAUAUUUUGACACGAUUGGUUACUUGGUGAAGUGAAGUGAGAAUUUGACAGAAUCUUCCAAAACAUGUUUUUCAGUUGUUGAACAUAUCUUCUUGUUUGUCUUGCUAGGUUAGUAUAACAGGGUAACAUAGAUAUAAUAAGCAUGACUCGUUCAAUAAUAAUCUCCCUUGUCGGAAUAAUAAUAAAUGCUUGAACACCUCCUUUGUCGGAAUGGGACACCAAAGUAACCCCCUUGCGUGGACAUUUUUUUAUUUUCUAUAAGUAUGUUUUCUAUACCUAUGUUAUCUAGUUUACCAAGGGUUAAAUUCUUUGAAUUUAGGUGAAUAGAUCCAAAAAGGUAUAUCGGAACAAGCAAGAUCUACGGGAACGAGGUGGUUCAUUUGAACAAAUCCCUCAUUGCACCCCAGAUCCUCUGCUCCAGUACCUUAUCUUGGGUCUGUGUGAACUCCAUCAUAUUCAUAUAGGUGCACAUCGAGUUUUCGACACAAGCCAGGAGACUUGAAGAGGCUUUGAUUGGUACCACUAGGAAGUUGUCUGCACAGGUGCAUCUUCAGAAUCUUCGGCAUAUCAUUGGGUAAGUCAUGUAGUUUUCAAGUAGAUUUAAUUGUAGACUUGCACAUGUUCUAAUUUAUAAAGCUUUGCUUGGAUCCGUUUUAUUUUGAAUUCAUGAAUGUAAUGUGGGUCCUUGUAGUAUAGUAUAUUUUUUAAUUGCAUGUUAUGGUGGUUGACAGUGGAGCAUACGAAAUUAUUGUUGUUUCACAUUCUACUGUGUACAUUAUAUUAUUAUUGCAGGCUUAAGGAAAAUUCGCAGUUGGUUGUCUUCUAUAAGAUGCUUAUUGUAUGUCAAAUUAUGCUACCGUAUUUGUAGUGCUGUAAAUUAUCUCAUAUUUGAUGUCUUGUUUGAAAAUCGAUGUGCCUAUGUUGGUUGGCAGGGAGUUUUCGCCCAGUUACAGGGGAGACUCUGUCAAAAAUUUUUUAAAAUCUUUUUGGGUGUUUUGGUUAGUGAUUGCCUUAAGAGUAUAAUAAGACAAAUUGGCGGCAAUAUGGACUCAAAAGGGGGGGUGCUUCUUUCCGUUAAAUAAAACAAGACAUCCUCGGAGAUAUUACCUACUAUUCAAUUUAAUUAGGAGUUGUUGAAUAACUUUUUGGCAUUUGGAUGAUGAUGAUGUAUAGGCGGUUAGAGGGAACAUUAACUUAAAAUGUUGACUAAAAAUUUGUAUACAAGACAAACUGGAAUCACAUUUGCUUGUACUACUACAAAUGUGAGUUCUCCUUUGCUUGUACUACUACUUGUACCUUAAACACACAUUUGCUUGAUUAAGAUGAGUUCUCCUUUGUAUCACACUUGAAACAGUAACAAUGGAUAGGGAUUGUUAUAUGAUGUAUACUCUUCUACCGCAUGAGCUAACUUAUUUUAUUCCAAAAUAGGGAUUCUUUCCACACGUAUGUCUAUAGAAAGACCUCUGCACGUGUCUCUUUAUUGGGGAGGUAAAAUACACUACGAGGAUGGGUCAAUUUGUUACUUGCCUCGUAUUUGCAACCGUACAUUCUCAUUACGAUGCAGGAUUGGAUAUGAUGAUUUGGUGGAUAGAAUCUAUGAAUAUAUGGGGGUCGAUAGGGGGCUGUUUAGGUUGAAUAUAUUUCUCCGCCAACCUUGUGGCCGGAGCUCUUAUAACGUGUCCCCAGUGGUUGAUGAUGAAACUCUUGCGAUAAUGUACGAUGUAUGGAAUGAAAUUGUUCCAUACACCGCAGAACUGUAUAUCGAGAAGGAUGAAAAAUUUCAAAAUCCUCGAGUCACCGGGACAUUCAUUUCACCAAAUACUAAUUUAGGUCCGAUGAUGUCGCUUGUCCAUGCAUGCAUGGAUCCGACAAGAUUUCAACCAAGCUCUAGUACAGCAGUACCUGAGACGGCAUCGGUAUCACAAUGGGCACAUGGAGAUUGUGGUAGGAAUUCGUUAGAGCCACGUCUUACAUCAGGCUUAAGGACGCAAGUUGAAUCUGUUCAGGGCCUAGACUCGAUUCAAAGUUUUAGAGAUCCAGAAUCGCCGGAUCAUCUUGGUAGUUAUGGCUUGGAUUUCACUGCCGGUCCAAGCCAUUGCAACAGCCCCCUAGAUGAUGAUUUGGAGCAUGACGUGGAAGAUGUAGAGGAAUCUGAGUCGGUUGAUGUGUCAGGCAGUGACUCAGAUGGCGAAAUUGGACAACAUGGAGUCCACCUGGAUCUUGAGAACCAACAGCCUUUUGAUGCAUCUAGCAACCCCCUGUAUGCUCCACGAGGAUUGAAAUUCUUCUCUAACCUUGGAAACAUAGAUGAGGACGAGUAUCUGACAGAUGACGAUGAGUUGGAGCGCAUUGUGACAUUUAGUGAGGAAAAUAAUAAUAUAAGGCUGCAUAUGAGAUUUGAGAGCAAACAACAACUGAGCAGGGCUAUUAGAAUGUGGUCUAUCACUCAUAAUAGGGAGUUUAGGGUUGUUGAGAGCAAGAGAAACACCUGGGUUGCCAAAUGUAAAUCCGUAAUUGAAAGGACCUUCACCAUUGAAGCCGACUCAUCGGAACCUCCAUGCGACUGGUGUGUCCGAGCAGUGAAGAAAAAGACACACGGAUUAUGGCAAAUAACCAGGUGGGUGAACGAUCACAAUUGUGUGGGUGAUUUGAUGAGUAAUAGCAAUGCUAGUCUAACAUCUUCGGUUAUUGCUAGACACGUUGUUCACAGUAUUGAAGACGAUCCUAGGUACAAAGUAAAGAACAUUGUCAGUGAUGUUAAAAAGGUGCUGAAGGUGGAUGUUUCUUAUAAAAAGGCUUGGUACGGCAGACGCAAAGCUAUUGAACUUGUUUUUGGUUCUUGGGAAACAAAUUUUGCCGAACUACCAAAAUAUCUUGACGCGCUUGUGAAGUCAAAUCAGGGAACCGUUAUCAGGUGGUUACAUCAUUCUGAUAGCACGGAUCACGUGAAGACAUUUAAGUAUGUGUUCUGGGCCUUUGAACCGGCUAUUGAUGCAUUUCACAUGUGUCGGCCGGUAAUAUGUGUUGACGGCACUCAUUUGCAUGGCGAAUAUAAGGGCAAACUACUGUUGCCGUGACACAGGAUGCCAACAACCACAUUAUUCCAAUAGCUUAUGCCAUAGUCGACGAGGAGACCAUGUCUAGUUGGUCUUGGUUCAUGGAGCAACUUAGAUACCACGUCGCCCGCGAUCGGUAUCCCAUUUGUGUCAUUUCAGAUCGGCAUCCCGCUAUUAUUCAUGCUAUGACACAUUUUGACUAUUGGCAAGAACCUUUGGCCUUUCAUAGGUUUUGCCUACGACACGUUAGGAGUAACCUAAUGACUCACUUCAAAGGUUUGAACCUAAAAAAGUUAUGUUGGGCAAUGGGAAGGGCCAGACAGUUGCGCAAGUGGAGGGCAUUAAAACGAGAAUUAAGGAGCACGUUUCCAGAUGCAUGUACCUAUUUGUGUAACAUUGAAAUCGAGAAGUGGUGUCUAACUCAUGACGGUGGCCAUCGUUGGGGUAUUCUCACAACUAACAUGUCCGAAAGUUACAAUAAUGUACUUAGAGGAGCACGUCACUUGCCUAUCCGGGCUUGUAUUGAUAUGACUUUUCAUCGGACAGUAGAGUUGUUUAGAACAAGAAGGGAGGACGCCAGACAUUGCCGUAAUCCAUUUCCUCCAAAGAUUUGGCGAAAGUUUAAGAAUUCGGAUCAGAAAACGGGAAGCCACCGGGUUGUUGAGUUCGAUGGCUCUUCCGGGGUGUAUAAAGUGGUGACAGGCCGCCGUGUGGACGGUAAAGGGGGCAAUAUACAAACGGUCAAGUAUUUGGAAAAAUCUUGCUCUUGUGGUAAGUGGCAGUGCUACCGACUUCCCUGUUCCCACGUGUUGGCCGUGUGCAGGCAUCGCAGGGAUAAUCCGGGGGCGCUGGUAGAUCCGCAGUUUACAAAAAGGCGAUGGACAGUUCAGUAUUCAGGAAAGUUUAACCCUUUGCCACAUCCGGAUACUUGGCUCCAACCGGAUUGGGAGUUACAAGCAGAUCGCAGUAAAUAUGUUGCCCGUCGGGCGGGGAGGGUACGAGCUAGAAGAAUUCGGAAUGAGAUGGACGAGAGAGAUCCAGAGGAACCAAGAAGGUGUACAAAUUGCCAACAGUCGGGUCACAAUAGAAGAAAUUGUCCUAAUUUUAGAGUUUGACAUCAUCCGUUUUAGGGAUAGGAACCAGUGUACUGAACGUUUGCUAUGUCAUUUUGUUGGAUUAUGGAAUUAAUAUGAUUUAUGAGACGAUAUUCUGUUUAUCAGUACUUUGGCUCGUAAUAUUUCAGUGUCAUUUUUAGCAUCCCACUAUUUAAAGUGUUGCAUUAGUUUUAGCAACUACCAGUCUACUAAUUAAAUGUGUAGUAGCCUUAUAUGUUACAUAAUGCAUUUGCAGCUAUUGUUUUCUAUAUGGCCGACAUUCCUACACAUGCAGCCUUGCAUCCGGGGCCAUUCGUGUAUGAUAUUAUCUCAGCAGGCACUGCACACCGGGCACAUUCUAUAUUUUACGGGCACAUUGUAGGUGAGCAGCUUGAUGUCAGGCGAUGUGAUAGGCACUUUUGGGAGCAUACACCUAUCCCUGAGCCCGUUCGACAGUAUAUUCGAUUGGAUGGCUUUGAAGGGGUGCUUGACUGUGGAUAUAUGAUGCUCGAUCAUGCUUUGAUCACUAGUUUGGUGGAGCGGUAGCGGCCCGAGACGCAUACAUUUCAUCUCCCCGUUGGAGAGACUACGGUAACGUUGCAGGAUGUGGAGGUUCUGUGGGGUCUACCCAUAGACGGUCCUCCAGUUAUAGGGAUUGAUACUCCUCAUACUGUUGAGGAGUGGAGGAAUUUAUGUGAGGAGUUGAUUGGAUUUUAUCCAACGAUGUCAGAUUUUGAUGGGCAGCAGCUUAAAUUAGAUGUUUAUCUAGAGUAUUAGAUACAGAGUUGACACCUGAUGCUUCGGAUGUCCAAUGUAGACAGCGGGCCCGUGUAUACCUGCUCCUGCUAUUAGGCGGUCAUUUAUUAGCAGAUAAGUCCGGUAACAAAGUCCCCCUAUUGUAUAUGCCAUUACUACGAGAUUUGGAAACUGUUGGGCAAUAUAGUUGGGGAAGCGCGAUUUUAGCAACUCUGUAUCGAUCAUUGUGUAACGCCACAUCUCCCUCUAGAUCGGCAAUUGCGGGACCAUUAGUUUUGCUUCAGGUACAUUUCCUCCAGAUUCAACGUGUUAAACUUUAACUAGGUGAUGAUUAUACGGUCAAUUAAUACAUUCAAAUAUUAUAAAUUACAGCUAUGGGCGUGGGAACGUAUACCAACAAUGCGCCCUGAUCGUGUGCAGCCGUUAGAGCAUUAUCCUGGUCCAUAUGGAGCUCGGUAUGUAUAUAUCAAAUAUAUUUUUGUAAUACUAAUACGAAUCAACUAUCUCCUUUAACAAAUAUUUUCCCAAUUCGUUCCCUCAGGUGGAAUGUUCAAUUUGAUGUACACAGAGUGGCAAGACAUGUUGUAUCUGUAUUCCGAGAUCAGUUGACAGGCUUACGUGCCCGAGAGGUACACUAAUUGUCUUUUGAUGUCAUUAUGAUUGGUUUUUGCCGUUAUAUUUCAGUAAGAUGUUUAAUAUAUAUAUAUAUAUAUAUGUUGGUUGUAUGGCAAUAAGAUUAUGCUUGAGUAUCGUCAAAAUGGUUGGAUUGGCAGGGAGUUUUCAUCCGGUUAUAGGGGAGGUGCUGGGAAGAUAAAUUAAAAAUUAGAUGUAAAAAAUGAGAAUAACUAUUGUGAUGUAUUGUAUGUAUGGCGAAAUGGAAUAAGUAUUGGCUUUGCAGUUUAUAUGGCAGCCGUACUCGGACGAUAUUCUCGCAUCUCUGCCUGCAUAUUGUACUGCAGGACGCGGCAUUUGGAGAUUUGCCACGUAUCUCAUAUGUUGGGAAGUUGUCGAGCCACAUCUUCCGAAUCGAGUUAUGAGACAGUUCGGAUAUCAUCAGCCCGUGCCUGAUCUAAGAUUGACCGAUAAUCAACAGGCACUGCAUUCUCUUGAUCGUCGUGGCAAGGGGAAUCAAGACUGGAUAACUAGACAUGCAGCAUAUAUUGAUGUGUGGACUGAUCGGCCUAUGCAUGUGGAGGACGGUGCUGUAACUGAAGAUCCUACCUAUCCGUCCGAUGAGUAUCGUCAAUGGUAUCGCGAGCGGACAGUGCUAUAUAUUUCAAAUCCUACUAGGCAUCCCGUUUAUCCGGAGGGCUUUCAGGGUGAUAGCGCUAGAGCACAAUAUCUAGUAAGUUUUCCUUACAAUUACUGAAAGAGAUCCUUCAAACAAACCCCAAGUUGUUAAGAUUUAACUCUAUUCUAGCCGACUCAUCCCAGCAUUAUAUCUCCAGAUGGAUGCUAUGUCUCAAGUAUAUUACAUGGCUGAGACCUGUCUCGCACAGAGUGACGAACAGCACACGAAUUAUUUUAAUGCAAUGAAGGACUUUGCAUCCAUGACAUUGGAAACUGUAGGGGAGUCAUCCCGACUUGCAUUUCGCCCUCCACGAGUACCCCAGCAAAUUCCGCAACCAGCAGACCCCCGUCGCGUUGAAAGAGCUCCUAGGAAUGUUCACGGAGGUCAGCAUGGUGGUGGACGCCGUCGUAGACUCCGGUCACCAGACCCCACCGUCCAAACUGGAUGUGAUGGAGGGUCACAGGCUACCGAGCAUCAGGGCAUCCCUAGGUCCAUUGGCCAUCCUAGGUCGCCAGUGCCUAUGGCGGAGUUUACGCCCCUAACAGACUUACAUCUUGCAAGUGGUGAACAACAUGUAGGAGGUACAGAUGAAGGCCCAAGUUUUCAAGCUAUUGAUGCUAGACUUGAGUCACAGAUUACUCAGGUAGAUGUUGCGAUCCCAGUCCAGCCACGUCGAACACAGAGAGUGCGCAAACCCAGAGGAUGUGGCAGUCAUGGAAGACUUGGACAUCAUUGAUAUGCUCCACUUUAAUUCUGUAGUUGUUGUUUGCUUCUCUUUUUGUUUAUAUUCUUUAGUUUGGCGAAUAGUAGUUUUGGUAUGUAAAAUAUUUGGACACAUUGCUGGAAAUAUUGGUUGGAUUAAAUGUUGUGCAUUUUGGGUUUGCUGGCAGGGAGUUUUGUCCACUUUUAAGGGGAGACUUUGUCAAAUUUUUUUUUUAAAAAAAUUUAAUAUUAAUCAUACGGAAGUCACAAUUGGAAUGGAAUUGUAAAUAACACAUUGCAAUCAGGAAAUGUGAUGAUUUGAAAUUUAAAUAUGAUAACAUGCGCUUUAACUAACUACUUGAAAGGAAGGUGAACAAAGGUAAAAGCGAAGUUAGCCAAUUGAAGGUGAAGCUCUGAAAAAUAGCUGUAAAACCUGUGAGAAAGAUGUAGCAAAACGGCUCUGCCUAUUGACCUGAGGAAAGAGACAGAUCCGCGCCUCGGAUCUGUCUAGUGAUAAUGGAUACGAGCUCGGAUCUAUAUGAUCCGAGGACUUUCCAUUUAGAUCCGAGGACGGAUCCUAAAGACCUCAAAAUCACUUACGCCAGGAGUACAGAUGAGGCCUCAGAUCGAUCUUGUUAAUAUGGAUCCGUGCUCGGAUCCAAGUGAUCCGUGGACUUUCCAUCGUUGAUCCGACGUCGGAUGUACGAUGACCUCGGAUCUCUUACUCCAGAAGUACAGCCGAGGCCUCGGAUCAAUUUUGUUAACACGGAUCCGUGCCUCGGAUCCGUGUGCAGCAACUCCCACGCUUUAUUUUUUACGGCUUUCCUAUAUUUGUACAAUUUUGCUCCCAAUCUGGUGUGCAGUUUAUCCUCUUAAUUAGCCCUUACAUUUCUUUCAGUUCGUGCAUGAAUUUCAUACUUCAAUAACCUUCAGAGUGUUAAGUAAAUUAACGCAUUAAUCCACUAAUUUGAAUUCGUUUUGAACCCUUAUAUAAGCGAAUGUCGACAUUUGUAAAUGGCAGCCCCCUUGUUACCCAGUACUUGAUUCAUUGGAGCAGAAAAGUAAUAAUAUUAUUCUUUAAUUUAGGCAUCAAUUUCUUUUGUCAUUUAAGCAUAAUUUUGUUGCAAUUUGGCCUUAUCGUGACUAUAUCAAGCACUUACUAACGAAAUGAAGUGAAAAUGACAAAUAUCAUUAAGCAUGCAAAUUUCCAAGCGAGGUAAUUUUUCUUAUUUAACCGAAUAUACUUCCUAAAAACUAAAAAUCCUAAUUGCAUAAUGGUUCAUUCCAAGCAAAAUGAGGACUAAACCUUCCCAAAAAACAUAUAACAUUUUAUCCAAUGGAAGAAAUAGACACUUAAGCAUGGAACAUUUUGGCCAUUGAUUUGAAAUAUUGGAAAACUUUUGCCUGGAAGAUCACAUUUUGACAGAGUAAUCUAAAUAACAAUGGAUGAAAACUCCCGAACAACAACCUCAAUUUCACGGAAAUUAAUCUCAUGACAACAUUUCAGAGACAAAUUCCAACAUUUUUAACCAUACACAACUGCAAUUAUACAUUUCAAAACACAACCACCCUUAAGACAAAGUAAUCACUCCCCCACACUUAAAAUCUACAAUGCCCUCAUUGUACAGACAUGUAGGAGACACUGAAACUUCCCUCAAAAUGAGUGGUCAUGCAAUUUGAUGCCCUUCAAACCUCACAAUCAUCCCAAUUCUGUCCAAAAUGAAACAACAAGGGUACCAAACUACAUAAGUUGGACAAGAUAAUCCAAUAAGAAAACUACAAAGGUUGUCUUAACAAAAGAAAAGCAAAAUAGAGAAAUAAAAGAUCCAAGCCGCUACGGAGCGUCAUGUUGCUCGGAACGAGGGUCUAUUGCCUCCUCCGCUCCAUGAGGACCCUGUGAGGUACCAAUAUGGCCCUCCUCCUGAUGAGGUGUCGGAGUAGGCGACCGGCGGAUGUUGAAGUGUUCUUCCAUCGCCCGAAGACGGCGAUCAUGCCUGUCUAGUCGCUCCGUCAUCCGUCUCUCCGUUUGAUCGAUACGCUCGACGACUCGUCCCUCCAUACAGCAAAUGGCAUUUAGGAGCUCUUGCCAUUUUGAUCUCAGAGGAGGUGGUGGUCGAGGAACAGGAGGAGGAAGAGCUUGCUGCGCCCCCGCCUCUCGAGUUUCCGCUUGUGGUUCAGUGUGCGGAGGAGGCUGGGCGGAAGUCGAUGCCUCUCCAGUGUCUCGAAUGAGAGCAGCUCCAAAAUCCGUAGGAAUGCCCAAAGCUUUGAGUAUAGAGGUAUUAACCUCCUCGACAGACCUAGUGACGAUAGCUCGCUCGGUUCCAAGAGGAACCUUGACCUUCUCAAAAAUGAGGGAUAGCAGUCUUGGAAACCCGAAGCAGGUCUCGCCGGCCCUCAUGCGAGCUGUAGUCCGCAUAUAACUGAUGAUAAUGCUGGGUAGAGGAAUGCCGGUCAGCUGCGCACCCACACCAUGCAUCAUCUUGUCCAAAAAGUAGAGAUCACUAUUGCGGAGCUCCCGUUUUCCACUUUUUUUUGGUACCACAUUGAAGGCAAACAGGUAGAAGAUUAGGUGGUACCUAUGCUCGAAUGAAUCGGCGUAAACUGUAAGCUUCUUCGCAGUUCCUCUCUCUCUAUACUGGCCCUUGAGGCGUCCAACCGCCUCUCCCACCUGCCAAGGGUCUCGCGCCUUGAACUCCUUCGUCAAUUUUAUAUCUUGUCCUUCGUCUUUGAGUUUGACGAAGCGUCCCAGUGUUUCCCGAGUAAGAGCCACUCUCUUGCCUCGAACCCACGAGACGAUGAGAUUGCCACUGUAGCUUUCUUUGUUUUCCACAUUGGCAUAGAACUCCCGGACCAAGGUUGGGUAGUAAUGCUUGGGAAGUUGUAAGAUGUUCUCCCAACCAAGGCGCUUGAAUGCUGUGGAGAUGUGGUAGUGUGCAUCCACUUCCGGUGCCAAGUGCUUCUCGAUGAUAAUCUCCUUGUCUAAGCCGAAUUCAUACCAUUGUUGGUUUUCAAGCGAGGUGAAUCGACUGGUAUCGUAGUCCGAAGGUGGCUCGUCACGGCUAGUAGACGCGGUCUUCCGGCGAGAGCGAGGUGGCGGCUCUGGUGACGGAGAUUCCUCUUCAGGUGACUCCUCAUUUAAGGAAGGUGUGUGUUCCUCUGUCGACGAAGAUGGAGGUGUCGGUGCUCUAGACCUUCUUGUGCGAGCCAUAAUACCUAUACCAAAAGCAAGAUGAACCUUCAUUAGAAAUCGUAGAAACUUGCUCGCACGUAUUAAAUAAGAAUUUAAAAAAAUUUCGGCAGAGUUUCCCCUUGAAAAAGGGCUAAACUACCUGCCAACAUUUACCAAAAAUUCAAGCAAAAAAUCUACUUAAGACCUCACAAAUACAAUUCUCACAUUGAGAAUGAAUAUUACCAACAAGGUUGUCAUGAUACGCUAAAUACUUCCAAUACUUUGACAAUUAAAACCAUUUGUAAGAUUGGAAUAAAAUUUGAAAGUAAAGUAGACUAUCAAUGACACUAUGCUAUAACAUUAAGCUUCAACCAUCAAUUCAUCGCAGCGUCAAAAUAUGCCUUACGAAAAACAUCUUCAAUUCAAACAAUUCUCAACUUUUGGCACUUUCCUUCAAACCAAUACAUAACUACCCACUAUACUUACCACAAUUUAUCAUCAAUUUGCAUAAAGAUGCACUUAUUUCAAGCAAACAAAUGCAAAUUAUACACCAAAACAAGAAAUUGCAAACAAAAGUCUAGUGUGCUUUCAUGACAAAAAUUAUAAAAUUUCUCACCAUAUUAACAAAUUUCUCAAAUCUAAGUAAACAACCAUAACUAAAUGUAUAUAUUAUCACAAUGUAACACAAUUGUAUCAAGAAAUUUCAACAAAUAAGCUUUUAUCACAAUUACUCAAAAACUUAAAAAAUUAUGCAAAAAUAGGAAUUAUAAAAUCUCAAAAGAAAUUGCAAAUUGUUACCUCAAAUGUAAAGGAGGAUGCUGGAGGAUGAUAAUGAUGAAAAAUGAGGGAGAAACAAGUCCAAUUUUACCCACAAAUAAAACAAAUUCCGUGCGGCCCAAAAUUGCCUUUUGAAUAUCAAAAUCCACUUUUGAUGAUGUUUUGUGGUGAAAUAGCUUACGGUUUAUGAUCAUACAAGGGUUAGGGAGGUGUUUAUGGUGAAGGAUUGGAGAUUUGAUAGAUUAAAUAGAAGAUUGGAGAAAAGGGGGUAGGGUUUCGGUGAGAAGAGGGAAGAAAUAUUUGAAAAGUGCAGAAACGAACCCUCGUUUCUGCUUUAUCCGCGAACCGAUCCGAGGUCGUAUUUGUUCUUGUAGUCCUCGGAUCCUACAUGGCUCGGAUCCACAAGUGCUGAAGUUUAUCCGAGGUCUCGGAUCAAACUGGAACUUGAAUGAUCCGGGCUCGGAUCUCCUGUUUUAAUUUUUUCCGCUUCAAACGAUCCGCGGUCGGAUCCUUCUGGGUUUUAUAGGAUACGAGCUCGGAUCAUCACAAUUCUGCACUAAUUACACCAACUGCAAUUUUCCAAACAUUUUCUCCCUUUUCCGACUAAUUCCAAAUAAGCUACAAAACUCAUGAAUUUUUUGAAUCCACCAAUCGCUAUUUUAAAUGCAAAAAAGGAUUAUUGUUAGUCUUACUGUUGUCGAGUGAAAUGAAAUUCACACAACUUUACAGCCAAGAAAUCAUAACUGUGACAUAUUUAGUGGUAGUGACUUUUAAAUAUUUACUAAAGUUAAGAAGUCCAAAUACGUAUUAAUCAAACGUCAAAAAGAAUGAAGGGAAUGAGCUUCUAGGUGGUUGCUAACCUCGCAUUCGUAAUGCGAGGUAUACAUGACCUCGCAUUUGCUAAAUGCGAGGUACGCUUCUUUUUUUUUUUUUUUUAAUUUCGGUGGUCUCAAAAUUCAUCUCAACUUCGCAUUUAGCAAAUGCGAGCUCCUUGAGCUCGCAUUUGCCAAAUGCGAAGACCCCCAAGAUAGAAAACCAUACACAAAACGCCCCCUUUGUAGAAUUUUUUUAAAUUUCAUCAUAUUUUUAGAAAUUUCUCUGAGGCCAAGAGACCUUCAAGAAUUUGUCCACCAAACGGAUUCAGGUCUCUUUUCCUUCUUCUUCUGCCUAUAGACCUUUUAUCUACAACAUCAUAAAUAAGAAAGGUCAACGGUCGAUAUACAUGAAUAAACUUGACUCUUUUAUUCAACUAUGCGCAUGCAUGCUGGCUUAACUGAUUAUCAAUUUCCAGCCUAAUCCUGUUUUUAAUGUCAAUAAUCUUGAGAUCACUCAAUCCCUCCCCAGAAAAUUCUAGCAGAGAUCUCUUCUUAUUCACUUAGGUGGUUCCGUUAAAAUGAUGCUUUGUGUCAAGCAAGAUAAAUAGUUUGUAGACGUGUAGAUAAAGCUAGAUUGUGGUAUCAACUUGUUAAAAGGAGACCUGACGUAGCCCAUUUAUUUAUUUUUGGCGUCUGAUGGUCAUUACUGGACAAUUCAGUAGCCAUGUACCUCAGUUGAGAACCAUCAUUAUUUUGGUGUUUUAAAUUUUGCAAAUGAUAGUCACAGGGAUGUUUCCUUGAGCAUUCUUAAUUAAAGUCGACUGCUGGAAGGGUACGCUUGAAACGUAAUCUCUUGCUUGAUGAAGACUGAUUGUAAAUUAGAAGCGUUCCCAUUAUAAAUUAUAAUCAAAAGAACUUUGUGCAAGAGUACCGUCAUUUCUAUUGAUCUCCACACGCCAGAAAAUGGGAUCCAGACUUCCAAUAGCCAACUAGUUUCUUUCUUGGAGAUGCAAGCAUGGAGGUCUUGAUUCGAGUUCAGAUAUAGCAACACGAUGUUGCUCAUUCAGGAUGAAACAUGAAUAUUUUUUGGAAGUACAACCUAGCUGCGAAAUGGUUAUGCCGCUUCCAGCAGAACUAGCUUCAAAUGCUCUUAACAGAAACAAUCAUGUCAAGCAUUCUCAUUCUUAUCUAAGGAAUCCAAGUCAUAUUGAAUCACUAGCCAAUAAAAACUUUCAUUUUCUAAAGGAAACACUCCUAUGAGCUUGAAUCCUAAAUUAGUUACGCAGAGGCUGCGGAAUUCGUUACAAAUAAGUGGAUGGCCUAUUCCGAUAUUCAAUAGUACCAAUUACCAUGCAGCACAUGAUAUGAGACUAUUCGUUCUUGUUCAAAAGAAAAAUUCUACUGGUAAUGAUAGGAUAGGUUUUGAAAACUACACUUGUUUCCGUGUAAAGAUACCUCUACAAAUGCAAAGCUGAAGCAGAACUCGGAUGAAAAUCAUCUGCCAAGAAUCACUCUAAACUCAAAAGUUUCAGGGAUUUCAUCAACAACGAAAUUUGUUUCUGCUGCUUCAUUUCCAGAUAUGACAGCAGAUACUGCUCAUUCAAAUUGAAGUAUGUGUUAGAGUAUGGAAUUACCAGUGCCGAAGCCAGGAUUAUCUGUCAGGCGGCAGGCAUACAUGUGUUUUUGAGUGCAUUUUUGAGAAUUAUGGAUUGCAUGUACAAAUUUUUUUUUUUGUUCCGGAUGUCACUUUAUCCAAUCCAAAUAUCUCAUUAUAGAGCAAUCAUAUCUCCAUAGUAUAGGAAACUAUCGUAUCGACCUUAAAAAAAAAGAGCAAUCAUAUCUCAAAGUACAAUUGGAAGUGAAAAAAUAACAUCGCUAAUUAGCUAUACAUGUUGGUUUUGUAUGAUUAGGAGCAUUUCUUUACUGUACAAUUUUAUUAGUUUUUUUGCUUACAUAUAAAAGAUCACAUAUAUGUAAAACCAAGUAUUUAAAUUUGAAUUUUGGUAGAUUAAUAAUAGAAAUUAAAAUAAAACAGGUAAUUGAAAAUGUGCAGGAUUUAGCUAUUAAGAGAUUUUUCUUAACACAAUAGAUAAAACUGUAACAAGACAAUAUACAAUACUAAAGAAGUUAACAAGAAGUGGUCAAGUAAUUAUAACUCAAUGUUAAAAAUUAUUAAAAGAGAGGAAAAAGUUCAAAAUUUUCACAAGCAAAAGCUAGGAAGAGGGGAAAGAAUUUUGUCAAUCUUUUUUUUUUUCAAGGGAAAGACUCUCAAUGAAAAUUUGUAAUAACAACUUUUUUGGGGCAAAAAGGAAAUUUCAAAACUUGGGGCCGGCUGCACUGCUACUCCCUGGACUUGAUGAAUAAGCAUUCUCUAUCCGACCUACAACGACAGGACUGGUAGAAAAAUGUUGUACUUUGCUAAACAGCACCACUUUUCAAUGAACAAUAUUGUGCUAAAUCCGCUACAGAUUAACACACACACACAAAAAAAUUGUGCUAAAUCUAUUACAGACUGACUAACUAAGGAUUUUUAUCUAAAUUCUGAACCUUUUUCACGUUUAUUCACAAAUAGCAUAUGAUACAUGCUAAAUUUCACUUGUUCCAGACGUCUUGUGUCUCGAGUAGACUAUUCAUCGACCUUCAACCAUUGAAAUACUAACUUGAUUUGUGGAAACAUUGAACGUGCAAACCCCUGAUUGAAAAUGCUCAGAUUCUAGCAAGCUUUGAAACGUAAAUGUUGGUUGUCUUGGUUGAGGAAGUUCCAUUUCACUCUCAGAACUGCUUAGCAUCAGAACCACAUUUGACAUUGUAGGCCGAUCUGCAGCAUGGUCUUGAACACAAAGAAGUCCAAUUUGAAUGCAUCUCAUUACUUCUGCUGGGGUGCAAGAAUCCGCCAGUGAUGGAUCCAGCAAUUCUGGAGCUUUACACUCAUUCCACAAUUGCCACGCCUGAGCAAUGAAUCAUUUGCAAGUUGCCGAUUAGAAUUGGAUUCGAGUACCCAAAUUAUAGUUUGGCUUCCCACAGUAUUCAUCUUUUUAUCUUAAUUCUUAGACAAGACAGAUUUUAUCUGAUCUACCUGAAAUUAAACUAACACGAGAAUAAGAAAAGCUUUAUCCACUUACAUAGCCAAGAAGGUUCAAAUAUUUUUCAUGAUAUCCAAAACCAGUGUUCUUCUUGCUGCUGAUAAUCUCUAGCAGCAAAACUCCGAAGCUAUAAACAUCAGAUUUUUCUGAAAAGAGGCCUCCCAUGGCAUAUUCUGGAGACAUAUAACCGCUGCAUCAUAUUUGAAACACAAACGUAUUAACUGUUUACAAAAUUCACCUAUAAUUAAGCACAUAUUUCUCCAUGCAAUAGAUAUUAGCUUUAUCUUUAUAUUCUUUUCGGUUGGCCACGAGUCAGGGCAGACAUGCUUUAGAAAAGAUCAGUUGAUCACUUACAAAGUUCCUACAACUCUGAGAGUGUUAGCUAGUUCUUGGGUGACUCGGAAUGUUCGUGCCAGCCCAAAGUCGGAGAUUUUGGGGUUCAUGUCAUCAUCCAAGAGAAUGUUGCUGGCCUUCAAAUCUCUGUGAAUGAUUCUCAAACAAGAAUCUCGAUGGAGGUAUAGAAGCCCUCUGGCAAUGCCCUGAAGUAUGUUGAACCGUGUCACCCAAUCUAGCUUCAACUUUUUUGUUCGGUCUGCCCGUUAUCCACAUAAACAAUUUAGUGCACAAGAGGAAAAGGUUAGUGCACAGUAUACACUGUGUGGUGUCCAAUUUCAAUAAUAAGUAGAAGGAUAUUGUAAAUUGUUGCUGUUUUUGACAAUUUGGUUGCAGUUUAAAGCUGGUAUUCAAUGGUUCUAGAUUAAUAUACAUUACAUAAGCAGAAAUCAAGCUUCCAUCUUUGUAAACCCCACAUGGUGUCAGGUUACCUGAAAGGACAUCAUCACAAUAAUUGAAAAAACAGGAAUUCUUCUAGUCAUGAAAAAGAUCACAUGAAUCUAGGAAACCAGUUAGAGAGCAGGUAAUGUAGAUUAUUAUUAUUUGGACAUGGGAAAAGCUGUUUUCCUGUAAAAUUUUAACUUCAAAAUCUCUGAAAUUUGUCUAUUUUCCUGUGGUAAUAGACCAAGAUAACGGAAGAAGGAAAUUUGAGAAAAUUAUUGGGGCAAUUGAAAGGGUAAAGAAAAAUUUAGAAUUUUCAGGGGUGCAAAUGUCAAAUACAUUAAUUUUGCCACCCUAAAAUACUAGUUGUUGAAAGUUGAGGUGUGACAUUUACCCAUCGUUGCUCUUCAGGAUUGACGAAGUGUUUGAUGUCACAAAACGUACCAAAGACUAUUCAUAACGGGAUUGAGGACUUGCAAGUAAAGGAUGGAUUCAAUUUUCCAAUUAAGCAGUUGUUCUACAAGAUAUUUAUACAUAUACACUACUAUCUGAUGAGAGAUAAUUAUGAACCAUAAAGCAGAUCACUCUGAUGGAAUGCAUCUAGCAAAGUCCUGAUCGUCGUAGCAAACAAUACACAGGAAACUACUGAGAACUCACUACCCUAAACUAAUUAAAAGAAAAUUUGAGUUAGUAAUUCAGUGAAGUACUAAAGAAGAAUAUUUACCAAAGAGGAAUUUGUCCAAGCUUUUGUUUUUCAUGUAUUCAAGAAUGACUAUCUUUUCUUCUCCUUGAAUGCAGCAACCCAACAGCCUUACAAGAUUUCUGUGCUGAAGUUUAGAUAUCAACAUAACCUCAUUCUUGCACUCCUCCAUGCCUUGUCCUGAGUGACUUGAAAGCCUUUUCACGGCUAUUAGCUGUCCAUCUUCUAAUUUCCCCUGGAAUUCAGGUUCACAAUUUAUCCAUCAGUUCUAUCCAUGCCUAAGCUAAUAUCAAUGUGCAGGUACUUGUUUAGAAGUUUAAUUACCUUAUAAACUGCACCGAAUCCUCCUUCACCAAGCUUGUUAGCUUCACUGAAGUUGUUGGUAGCUCUCUUUACCCUAUUGAAAUCAAUAAUUGGAAGCUCGGAUGAUCCCUUUGCUGAUGCAGGACCUUCCUGGACAUCUUCUUGCGAAAUAUCUCUCACAGAGCCCCUUCUCUCCGACACAAAGAGACCCUUUACUAUGCACUUUAUCCUGAAGCCCUUCAUUAUGCACCAUUUACUUGUCUCUGGCUUUUGUUCACGGAUAUGUGUGUCUGAAUGCCUAAGUGCUGUAACGUUAACAAUAAUUACAUGGAAAAUCAGCACUUGUUAACUUUUGCUUGAGAUUAGCAAUGGAAUACUCAGAUUCCAUGGAAGGGGAGGGUAAGGGUAUCUUGAAUACUGAAUGGCUGCUAAAUGAUCAAAUAUACAACUUUAAGUAUGUUUAGACGCAUUUUGAGUCCUAUGCAGUCAGUGAUAAACAUGUUUACCUCUUCUGUUUGCUUUCCAUCUCUUAAUGCAACAUAUCAACAAGCCCAAGAGUGAACCAACCGAUAUAGAUAGGACGCUGAUGAUGGUUGCUGUGUAUCGCUUUUUUCCUCCUGAAAAUUACAAUAAACAAAUUGUGAAGAACACGCAAGCUUUAUAAUGCAGAAACAGUCCAGACUAGACCUAGAUUACCUAGCUCUGAAUUAGCAAGGCGGAGAUAUAGAUCUUCCCCACCGUCUGAGAAUUGCUGAAUGUCAACAAGAUCUGUCACCCAAACCAUACACCCUAUGCCACCUGGACAUGCAUAUGCUAGGCAAGAGCAGUUACUCAGGCACCAUUGGCUACACCCCCCUUGGUCAAUCACGUCAUACAAAUACAGAUAAUGAUCUGGUAAUUUCAUCUGACUGAGCUUCCAGAAGCCAUCCGGUUUAGAUGCUUUAGAUGUUAAGUUGCUACUGUUCUUAGUGCACAUCAACUCUGUACGCCGCAAACAUCCACUUGUCCAAUUUCCCUUACUCCAUUCCUCAUUAGAGUGCGGAAAGAACCCUUUCAAGCACUCACAAAUUGGAGAUCCACUCAUGCUACAAGCAGUGAAGGGUCCACAAGUUCCAUAUACAUCGCAUGGAUUUUGAGGUGCUGCCCAAAUCGGGUUCCAUUGAUUUUGUUGACCUUCCCAUUGCAGUAGUUCCAACAUACCUGUUGAUAAAAUUACCAUAAUGUAAAUAUAGGACUCGUUGAAAGUGCUGAAAGUCAUAUAUGCAGCUCCCGUUUGAUUAUCUGUUAUCAGACUCAUUCCAUUUGCAUACCCCUUAGUCGCAUCUGGAAUUCCAAUGAACUGCCAUCCGUUCCAUGGCCCUGCUCUCCAGUAUGGUUUGGUACCAUUACAUGUGAAAGAUUGUGGUGGUUUUUCAUCUGAAAGUAUAGUAAAAAAGUUCCCAGGCGCUGGAUCAUUCUCAUUUUCCCAGGACGUUGAGACGUUUUUCAUUCCGUUCAUGUUUGGUAAAACUGUAUCAGAAGGGUAAUAAAAGCUUUUCCAUAGAGUUGCUGAAACAUUAUCUUUAAGGAUGAAAUCGCCGUCAUCUCUAAGCACUGCAAUUGUGCUAUUAGAGUGGAGGGAAGCAUUAGUUGACCAGAUAGUAUUUUGCUUCCCAUCUAGAAGCUUUAGAUUCCCGUCGCUGCUGAUUAUCAGCCUUGAAGCCAGGUCACUCGCCAAGAGUGCAUUUUCUCUGUUUGCAACCCAAACAAUUCUACGACCAGGAUCAAACUUGUACCAGAUUCCAACAUACAAUUCACUUGCAUUACCAGGACUGAAGAAACCUAAUUCAAAGAUUUGCCUAGCUGAGAUUAGAGUUUGUCCCACUUUGAGUGGUUGGGAUGGAGUUAUGGUGUCAUUUGAUGCACAACAUACCGGUGAAAUGAAGAGGAUGUUAUAAAACACAAGCAACAAUAAGCUAGCUUUAUCCAUAUACUAUAUGCUCUCUAUUCCCUGUACUGUCUUUGAUGCUAAAAGAGCAUAAAAAAUGUGUCCUCCAAAUGAAUUCUUAAGGUCACUUCCCAGGCUCUUCGUCUUUGUCCUGCUUGGCCUUUUUUUACUACCACGUAAACAAAUAAAAGUCAAUGGUCAAUAUACUUGAUAAAUAAAUGAACCUCUUCAAUUCAACUAUGCACAUCUGCAAAGUGGGUUGAUUGAAUAUCAUUUUCUGGCCUAAUCUUCUUGUUAUGUCAACAGUCAUCAGAUCAGACCAUCCUUCCCUGAAAAUGUAAGCAGAUACGCCAUGUUAACCUUGGCGGUUCCUUUUAAAUAGUGCUUUUAUGUGCCAACCAAAACAGACAGUUCGGACACGUAUCAAAUGGUUGAAUAGAAGCUUAUCAUAUCAUAGUUUAUUCUUUCUGAUGAUAGGGACAGAAAAAUGGAAGAAAGAAAAGCAAAGAAAUUAAGGGUAAAUACAUCAAUGGACAAUUUACAAGUAACAUACCUGAGUUGACCAAUAUUAGUUGGUGUAUUGAGGUUCGCAAAUGACAGUCACUGGGAUGUUUCCUAUAGCACUGUUAAAGUUGGACUUGGGAAAUUACACUUGAAAUGCUAUCUUCAACUUGAUGAAGUUUAAGUGUGAAUAAAAAGUGUUUCCUUGUAAAAAUUAUACUAAUCAAAAGAACGUUCUUAUAAUAUGCAUUAAUAUGACUGCGAUGGUUCUUGUGGUUAUGUAACACUAAUUUCACAAGAUACUCUUAGUUAAUUUGUCGAACUUUAAGGUAUCAAACUACCAAGUAAUCAAUGGUGUAGGUCUUUUGCAGCUGUCGUAAUCCCUAAAUGUUGCCCACGCAUUACUACUUUUAACUGCAGUUUAAAUCAAAAAGAUCAACCUGAGUGUUAUUUGCCAAUUGCCCUCUAGGACAGAUGAUUUGGUUUCACAACCACUUCAAAUAAAAUGAUGCUCUCACAGUUUAAUAUUUUCCUUCCCCUCAGCAAUCGUCUUCUCUUAUCUGAACAAAGCCUGAUUUUUGAAGGAUUUUAAGUUACAUACUGUAAGAUUACUGCCCCCUUGAUCUAAAAAGAAAGAAUAAUAGUAUUGUGGCCUUGAUACGAGUCACCACCACCGGACUAAUAUCAUAAUUUUAGAGGAUCUUUCAAAAGAAGUUCCAGCAAAGACUUUUACUUACUUUCUUUCUUUCUUUUUUUUCUUUUUAUUUUUUGGUUGUGUUUCAACGGAAAAAAUCCAUUUUUCAUCCUUAAACUUUGGACUAGAAAUACAUUUCAUUCCCAAACUUUUAGGCGUAACACAUUUAGUAUAUGAAUAAAUAAUUUCUGGCAACAUUUAGUCCAAAAAUAGUAAAUUGUUCAAUUUGAACGGAGAAGACUCGCGUGUUUGGCACGUGACCGUUGAUUUUGACUACGAAAUUAUUUUUACUUAGCAGCCACAUGUUAGACAACUGAAUCUUCUCCGUCCAAAUUGAACAAUUUAUCCUUUUUGGACUAAAUGUGAUCAAAAUUUAUUAAUUCAUGUCCUAAAUGUAUUGUGUCUAAAAGUUUGAGGACGAAAUGUAUUCUUAAUUCAAAGUUUAGAGAUGAAAAGUGUAUUUUUCCCGUGUUUCAACUGUCAAAUAUUUCCUUCCUUGGACAUGCAAGCAUUGAGGUCCUUUAUUCAAGUUCAGGCAUGGCAACAUGAUGCUCCUCAUUCAGGAUGAAACUUUUUUUUUUUUUUUUUGCCUCCUCGAAGCAGAAACUAGCUCAAAAUGAAGUAGCCAACGAAAUCGGAAUCGUGUUAGUAGAAGCAAUACUAUCAAUCCGACAUGCGCCCUCAUUCGCGCCGAUGGAAAGAUACGGAAAUGAAGUCUGUUUAGAACUUAGGAUGAGGACUUAUUGCAUGAACAUUCUCUAUGACUCUAUCCAAAGUACAAGACCAGUAGGGGGAAAAAAUUACACUUCUGCUGAACAGCACCUGUCACCAAUGAAACAUAUUUUGCUACAGAUUAACUAGUAAGGAUCAAUCCCCAACCCUGCACCUUAUUUACUAUACCAUAUAGCGCUUGGCCUGUUCUGAUAUUUGGUAGUAAAAAUUACGAUGCAACACAUGGUAUGAUACUAUUUGUUCGCAAGAAAAAUGUACUGGUAAUCAAAGGAUAAAAUUUUGAAAGCUAUGCUUGUUUACGUGUAAAGAUACCUCUACAAAUGCAAAACUGAAGCAGCACUCUAAUGAAAUCAUCUGCCAAGAAUCACUCCAAACUCAGAUUUUCGAGGAAAUCUGCAACAAAAAUUCAACAAAGAAAUUUGUUUUUGCUGCUUCAUUUCCAGAUAUAACAACAGACACUGCUCAUUCAAAAUGAAGUAUUUGUUGGAGUAUAGACUUAUCAGUGCCGAGGCCAAGAUUAUCGGUCAGGCGGCGGACAGCGGACAUACAUGUGUAAUUGAUAGCCAUUUUCAGAAUUAUCGAUUGCAUGUAAAAUUUUUUGUUCCGAAUGUCUCUUUAUCCAGUCUAAAUAUAUAAUUAUAACUCAAAGUAAAAAUUUUUUUAAUUGAAAUUCUAUAUUAGCUAGUUCUUUCUUCUUCUUCUUUUUCCAUUGGAUUGUUUAACCACGUUACAACGAUAUCACUAUCAUUAUCAUUACUAUAUAAAAAGUAUGAAUGUUGGUUCUAGGGAGUGCAAGUGUAAACACUUUUUUAUCUUAUUUUUUGUUAUCCCUAAAUUACCCUCGUGUCUUUUAAUUCGAAUAAUUGCAUUUUAAUAUGGCACUAAUUAAAAGAAAUAAAACACUCCAAUUGAUUACAUUUUAAUAGUAUAGGUAAUUAGAAUUAAAAAUUGCUCAUUAAGAACUAUUUACCUACCCUUGGACUCCAUCUCAAAUUAUUAUACGUAUCAAAAUUUUUUGAUUGAAGUAUGAAAAAUUUCUCAUUAGUCAUUAGUUGAGAUUGUUAAAAAAAAAUCAAUUUCAAAAAAUAAAUACUCUCUAGAAAAUGGAGAAACAAGGACAAGAAAAUCCUUAUUCAUCUGUAUAUCUUCAUACAAAUAUCGUGAGUAAAUUUUACAAUUAUGUACUUUUUACCAAUAUCAAGAAUUUUUCAUGUUACAUCCAAUGGAAAUUCAAUAUACAAAAAAUGAUGACACCUUUAUAACUGAAAUAGCAGUAUUAAACUAGAAAAAAGAAAUCUGAAAUAGCACCAUACGAAUCACUGUUAUCAUUAAUAGCAACCGAUCGAAACAAGAGAAACUGAAAAAAUUUGAAAACUAUUUAUAAAAUGACAUAAAGUAAAUAGCAAAUGAAUUAAAAAGUUAGAAUACAAUUCAAAUAAUAUCAAAGACAACAUCCAUAUCACUGAUAUCCAAGAGAAGACAAACAUUGUUAUUUACAAUAAUAUGGUAAUGCUUCAUUUGUAUUGGUUUGAGCAAACCAAAUCCAUCCGUCAAGUCAGAAACUAUUUCCAACGAUAAAAUAAGAAUUAUAAUAAGAGUAAAUUUAAAAUGGAGAAUGAUAUAUUCAAAAUGAUAUCCAAAUUUGUUUUUGGUGAUGUCCAAAAUACCCUUAUUUUUCUAAUGAUUAGAUAUAUUUAUUGUAUUGCAAUAUUAGUGAAUAAUGGAAGCGGUUAUGAAAUGAAAAACUUUAAAAUUAAUUAAAUUUCAUUUAUGGUGACAAUUGUAAUUAGAUAGAUUUAGUGCAUUCCAAUAAUUGAUAAUAAUGAUAGCGGUUAUGGAUUAAAAGUUGGCAAUUAAAAACUAAAACACUGCAAUAUACAAAAACUUAAUAUUAAAAUUAUUAAUUGGCCACAAUUCUCAUUCCAAUUCCAUGAUCAUCAAAAAAAUAAUAUUAAAAUAAAAAAUAUUGUGCUCAUAUGAAAAAAGUAGACUUGUUGCUUUUGUUUCGCAUUGUAUUGUGCUAAAAACAUGAAUAAAAGAAAAGGAAAAUAGAAAAAUUCCAACUAUCUCUAUCUAUAAAUUUUCAAUUGUUAGAAUAUAUAAGCCAAAAAAACUUUACAUGGUGAAUCAUUUAUACUCCAUUAUUGACAGCAAUAGAAUUGACAUAAUACAAAGAAUUCAAAUUACAUGUAUGUUUAUUUUCCUAACUUAAUUAUAUUCUUCGUUUAUAAAAAUUGUGAUGAUUGUGGUUUAUAUGCAAUAGAAUCAUGAAUAUACAAUAAUUUUGGUAAAACAUGAUAAUAUUUGAUAUGUUAGAGUUCAAGCUAUAAAUCAAAAAGUGUUUGGUUCAUGAUUUCAAAUUUAAUCCUAAGGGAUAUGUCAACUACAUUGGAAUGUUUUCUGUCUCUUUUCAUUUAAUAAAAUUUUUAAAAGUAACUAGUUUAAAAAAAUAAAUAAUAUAAAAAUACUAUAUUAAGAUGUUAGUGAUCAAAAUUUCAUAAAAAAUUUUUAGUAUCCAAAGAAUAAUAUAUUUUAAGAUAUUAUAACCACGUGCAAAGCACGUGAACUAUUACUAGUCACUGUAAAUGGAUAAAUGAUUUUAUCUCUUUUCCUAUAUAGAAAUGGUUGUUAAUCUUCCGCAGUUUUUUCUGUAACACUAACAGAAGUUGUACUCAUUUGCCAAAACAAAUAACAGGAGUUUCGCUUAUCAUCCUUCCUCCUUGUCUUAAUUGUCCAUCGAUAUGCCUUGGAUUAUGAGAAAGACAACCAAUUCAUCCUUAAAACUAAAUAAUGACUAGAUGGAUCAAAAUUCAUACCAUAUGUCUCCUUUCUUUUCUUCAAUUUGUUUCCCCUCAGAUUCCAAAAUGCUUCAAUCUUGUAACAGCAUCAAAGUUACACGUUAAGGAACAAGGCCGGUUAUGGCACAAAUCGUAGCUACAUCCUAGUCGCUUGUUUUCGAAUGAUACUUGGAAAGGAAAGAAAAAUAGACGAGGUAGAUUGCUGAUCUAUAUAAGCCUAGAAUACACUAAUGCAGCUUCUAUUAACAACUCAUUUUGAAGUACAAGGACACCAGAAACAUGCUUUAAAAAUGAUGUUGUCCUCCCCCCACUUUGAUUGGUGAACAAUCAAGGCCACUCAAAUAUGGAGAUAAAAAUCAGAUUGUGCUUUGUUUACGAAAUAAGUUGUAAGAGGAAUAUAUUCUUGGUGAAUAAGACAGUAAUAGAACAGUAUUAGACUCGUUCUUGCUAAGGUUGGUAAUUGAAAGAUAGUGAAUUGAGAGUCAUGAUUUCACCAGAGGGGGACUAACCUUUUUGAUGGAAUUUUACUUAAGAACAGCCACUACAUGCAGGGGCAAUUUGUUUAGCCCAUCUGAACAUUUUUAAACUUAAAACAGUCUUGACUACUACCUCAUGGAAUGCAAAACAACUCGUCAAGACACAAUGGAAGUACGUGGUGGAGGCAUAGCCGGAAAUGGUGGGAUUGUUAGGCCAUCUUCGCUACCCUCCAAGCAGGCCUCAGAGAAGAUGGAAUUCAUGAAAGGAGUGCGUGGUUUCACUCCGCCCCCCUUCUUGACGAAGACCUUUCAAAUGGUGGAGGAUACAGAGACAAACAACAUGAUUUCCUGGAAUUCUGAAGGUACCAGCCUAAUAGUCCUGGACCAUCUCAAAUUUGCUGCAGAGGUUCUACCAAAAUAUUUCAAGCACAGCAAUUUCUCAAGCUUCAUCUACCAACUUAACAACUAUGUGAGUUUAUGCAUUUCAGAUUAUUGCAUACCUUUUAGAUUAAAUCCUUUUUCAUAGCAUGGAUAUCGUAUUUUUUAGAUAAUUUUUUUAUCAUCAUUAGAAAGUCUCUACAAGAAUUUGUUAUGUCUAUCACAACUCAUGAACCCAGGUAAAUGCCUUUUUCUUGUACUUAUGCUUGCUACUUUUGCUCAUGCUUUGUGUUUGCAGUUUGAAUGUCAAGUAAAUUCCUCGUUGAGACUCAAAUUCAAUAGCAAUUGGGAUCCUCCCCCACUAAUUUCUGAUUGUUUGCUUUCUAAACAUAACAGGGAUUCAGGAAGAUUGGACUGAGGCAAUAUGAAUACGAGAAUAAAUGGUUUCAGAGAGGGCAGGAACAUUUGCUAAUGAACAUUAGAAGGCGAAAUGAUGAAGCUCCAACAAUCAGGAAAAGACGAGGACGGAGAGAACAACACGUAACGGCUUCGAGGCCUUCAAUGGAUGCAGAGCUGGAAAUUUUCGAGGAUCACAUGAAUGCACUGAAGGAAGACAUCACAAGAUCAAAAUAUCAUAUGGGGAAACUUGAGAGUAGCAUAGCCACCUUCAAGAAAAAUGUGAAAAGAAUGGAGGCUAAGUCAAAAGCAUUGAUCAAGGUCUUAGCCAGAAUAUUCAGCCCCGCCUUAGUUGAGAAGAUAAUUCAGCGUGGGGAGGAAGAACUAGAACUUGAAAUCCUUCAGACCAUGAAGAGAAGAAGAGUGAUUCUACCACAAAGCUCUAAAACCACAACAAAGUCCACAAAUGAUGGAGCUUGUGGCAUGGACCAAGAUGAUCAGGAGGCAAACACUUCAAUGGCAGAAUCGAAAAAAAGUGCUGAUCAGAAACUAUGGAAGAAGUUCAUGGGAGAUGAUUCAGUUAGCGAGGAUGAGUCGGAGCAACAACUGUUGAAGCAACACUCGAGGAUUGAUAUGGGAUUCGAUGAUUUGAUGGUAUCCAAGAUUGUGAAUGCCAAGGAGCCUAAUUUGGACGUGGAGGAUGAAGUUGCUGUUGACCUCUGGACAUGAUUAUUUGUUUCGCAAUCGUGUGAUCUUCUUGCCUUGCUUUCCAUUUUCCGUCUCACAAUUGACUUACUUUUCAAGUUGUUGAAUCGUUAAACAAAAUUUCAUCAAUGUUCUGCAGGGUUUCACUUGGUGCAGCAUCAAGAAGAGGAGAGAGAGCAGCUGCUAGAAGAGUUGAUGCAGCAGAAUUCUCUGCUUCUUUUGGCUACUUUUAUUUGCAAGGUGUGCAUAUGAUAUUUGUAGAUUGGGGUAUCCCUGUUUCGACCUGUGUUUGCAGCUUUUAUUCGGAGACAUUUACUGGUUUGUAAAACUAACUAGUUUAAGUAAAUGGAACAAAGUAAGAAAGCUAUAUAUUAGCUUGCAUGAACAUAUUGAAUACGUAUAAUAACUACGCAAUCCUCUGUCCUCUUAUUCUUACUAUUCCAUAGAACAAAAAUAUAAUUUGAAUAUUCUCUAGUAUCAAACUUUGGAAAGCAAUCAUAUUUCAAAGUAUAAAUUAGAAGUAAAGAGAUAACAUUGCUAAAUUGAAAGAAAACUGUUGUACUUUGCUAAACAGCACCACUUUUCAAUUAACAAUAUUGUGCUAAAUCCACUACAGAUUAACACAAAAUUCUGACCCUUUUUCACGUUUAUUCACAAAUAGCAUGUGAUACAUGCUAAAUUUCACUUGUUCCAGACGUCUUGUGUCUCGAGUAGACCAUUCAUCGACCUUCAACCAUUGAAAUACUAACUUCAUUUAUGGAAACAUUGAACGUGCAAAGCCCUGAUUGAAAAUGCUCAGAUUCUAGAAAGCUUUGAAACGUAAAUGUUGGCUGUCUCGGUUGAGGAAGUUCCAUUUCGCUUUCAGAACUGCUUAGCAUCAGAACCACAUUUGACAUUGUAGGCCGAUCUGCAGCAUGGUCUUGAACACAAAGAAGUCCAAUUUGAAUGCAUCUCAUUACUUCUGAUGGGGUGCAAGAAUCUGCCAGUGAUGGAUCCAGCAAUUCUGGAGCUUUACACUCAUUCCACAAUUGCCACGCCUGAGCAAUGAAUCAUUUCCAAGUCGCCCAUUAGAAUUGGAUUCGAGUACCCAAAUUGUAGAUUGGCUUCCCACUAUAUUCGUCUUUUUAUCUUAAUUCUUAGACAAGACAGAUUUUAUCUGAUCUACCUGAAAUUAAACUAACACGAGAAUAAGAAAAACUUUAUGCACUUACAUAGCCAAGAAGGUUCAAAUAUUUUUCAUGAUAUCCCAACCCGGUGUUCUUCUUGCUGCUGACAAUCUCUAGCAGCAAAACUCCGAAGCUGUAAACAUCAGAUUUUUCUGAAAAGAGGCCUCCCAUGGCAUAUUCUGGAGACAUAUAACCCCUGCAUCAUAUUUGAAACACGAAAGUAUCAACUGUUUACAAAAUUCACCAAUAAUUAAGCACAUUUUUCUCCAUGCAAUAGAUAUUAGUUUUAUCUUUAUAUUCUUUUCGGUUGGCCACGAGUCAGGGCAGACAUGCUUUAGAAAAGAUUAGUUGAUCACUUACAAAGUUCCCACAACUCUGAGAGUGUUAGCUAGUUCUUGGGUGACACGGAAAGUUCGUGCCAGCCCGAAGUCUGAGAUUUUGGGGUUCAUGUCAUCAUCCAAGAGAAUAUUGCUGGCCUUCAAAUCUCUGUGAAUGAUUCUCAAACAAGAAUCUCGAUGGAGGUAUAGAAGCCCUCUGGCAAUGCCCUGAAUUAUGCUGAACCGUUUCGCCCAAUCUAGCUCCAACCUUUUUGUUCGGUCUGCCCAUUAUCCACAUAAACAAUUUAAUGCAUGAGAGGAAAAGGUUAGUGCACAGUAUACACUGUGUGGUGUUCAAAUUUCAAUAACAAGUAGAAGGAUAUUGUAAAGUUUUGCUGUUUAUGACAAAUUGAUUGCAGUUUAAUGCUAGUAUUCAAUGUUUCUAUAUUAAUACACAUUACACAAGCGGAAAUCAAGCUUCAAUUUUUGUAACUCCACAUGAUGUUAGGUUACCUCAAAGGACAUCAUCAUAAUAAUUGAAAAAACAAGAACUCUUGUAGUCAUGACAAGGAUCACCUGAAUCUAGGAAACCAGUUAGAGAUCUGGUAAAGUCGAUUAUUAUUAUUUCGAAAUGGAAAUAGCUGUUUUCCUGUUAAAUAUUAACUUCAACAUCUCUGAGAUUUGUCUAUAUUCCUAUGUAAUUUAUUCAGUAUUCCAUAAAAUUGUGGCAAAUGUUUUCAUUUCCUCUAGAGGGCAAGAUAACGGAAGAAGGAAAUUUGAGAAAAUUAUCGGGGCAAUUGACAGGGUUAAGAAAACUUCAGAAUUUUCAGGAGGUGCAAAUGUCAAACACAUUAAUUUUGACGAAGUGUUUGACGUCAUAAAACGUGCCAAAGACUAUUCAGAACGGGACUGAGGGCCUUGUGAAUUGAGGAUGAAUUCGAUUUUCCAAUCAAGCAAUUGUUCUAUAAGAUAACUAUGCAUAUACACUACCAUCUGAUGAGCGAUAAUUGUAAAACGUAAUGCGGAUCCCUCGGCUGACCUCUAAGUUCAAUAUCACUAACGCAGUCCUGAUCGUCGUAGCAAACAGGAAACUACUGAGAACUCCUAGCCUAAACUAAAUAAAAGAAAUUUUGAGUUAGUAAUUCAGUGAAGUACUAAAGAAGAAUAUUUACCAAAGAGGAAUUUGUCCAAGCUUUUGUUUUUCAUGUAUUCAAGAAUGACUAUCUUUUCUUCUCCUUGAAUGCAGCAACCCAACAGCCUUACAAGAUUUCUGUGCUGAAGUUUAGAUAUCAACAUAACCUCAUUCUUGAACUCCUCCAUGCCUUGUCCUGAGUGACUUGAAAGCCUUUUCACGGCUAUGAGCUGUCCAUCUUCUAAAUUCCCCUGGAAUUCAGGUUCACAAAUUAUUCAUAAGUUCUAUCCAUGCCUAAGCUAAUAUCGAUGUGCAGAUACUUGUUUAGAAGUUUAAUUACCUUGUAAACUGCACCGAAUCCUCCUUCACCAAGCUUGUCAGCUUCACUGAAGUUGUUGGUAGCUCUCUUUACCCUAUUAAAAUCUAUAAUUGGAAGCUCGGAUGACCACUUUGCUGAUGCAGGACCUUCCUGGACAUCUUCUUGCGAAAUAUCUCUCACAGUGCCCUUUCUCUCCGACACAAAGAGACCCUUUACUAUGCACUUUAUCCUGAAUCCCUUCAUUACGCACCAUUUACUUGUCUCUGACUUUUGUUCAUGGAUAUGUGUGUCUGAAUGCCUAAGUGCUGUAGCUUUAACAAUAAUUACAUAGAAAAUCAGCACUUACUAACUUUUUCUGAGUUGUAGAAUCAGUUUGCUUGAGAUUAGCAAUGGAAUAAUCAGAUAACAGGAUAGGGGAGGCUAAGCGUAUCUUCAAUACUGAAUUGCUGCUAAACGAUCAAAUAUAGGAAUUCAAAUAUAUUUAGAUGAAUUUUCAAUCCUAUGCAGUCAGCAUGUCAACAGAAUAGCUCCUAACAUGCUGUGAGUAAUUGAUAAACAUGUUUACCUCUUCUGUUUGCUUUCCAUCUCUUAACACAACAUAUCAACAAGCCCAAGAGUGAACCAACCGAUAUAGAUAAGACACUGAUGAUGGUUGCUGUGUAUCGCUUUUUUACUCCUGAAAGUUCCAUUAAACAAAUUGUGAAGAACAGGCAAGCUUUAUAAUGUAGAAACAGUCCAGACUAGACCUAAAUUACCUAGCUCUGUUUUAGCAAGGCGGAGAUACAAAUCUUCCCCAUCAUUUGAGAAUUGCUGAAUGUCAACAAGAUCUGUCACCCAAACCAUACACCCUAUACCAUCUGGACAUGCAUAUGCUAGACAAGAGCAGUUACGGAGGCACCAUUGGCUACACCCCCCUUGGUCAGUCUCAUCAUACAAAUACAGAUAAUGAUCUGGUAAUUUCAUCUGACUGAGCUUCCAGAAGCCAUCCGGUUUAGAUGCUUUGGAGAUUAAGUUGCUACUGUUUCCAUCACACAUCAGUUGUGUACCCCUCACGCAUCCACUUGUCCAAUUUCCCUUACUCCAUUCCUCAUUAGACAACGGGAAGAACCCUUUGAGGCACUCACAAGGUUGAGAGCGACUCUUGCUACAAGAGCUGAAGGGUCCACAAGUUCCAUAUACGUCGCAUGGAUGCUGAGGUGCUGCCCAAGACACGUUCCAUUGAUUUUGUUGUCCUUCCCAGUGCAGUAUCUCCAACAUACCUGUUGGUAAAAUUACCAUAAUUGAGAUGUAGGACUUGUUGAAAUUGUUGAAAGUCAUACAUGAGGCUCCUAUUUGAUUAUUUGUUGUCAGACUUAUUCCAUUUGCAUACCCCUUAUCCUCAUCUUCAAUUCCAAUGAACUUCCAUCCAUCCCAUGGACCUCCUCUCCAAUAUGGUUUGGUACCAUUCCAUGUGAAAGCUUGUGGUGGUUUCUCGUCUGAAAGUCCAACGACAAACUUUCCAGGUGCUGGAUCAUUAUCAUUUUCCCAAGAUGUCAAGAAACUUUUCUGACCACUUCUACCGUUCAAUCCUAACUGCAUGGUUGCUAAAAUUGUAUCAGAAGGAUAAUAAAAGCUUUCCCACAGAGUUGCCCCUGAAAUCUUAUCUUUAAGGAUGAAAUCUCCAUCAUCUGUAAGCACUGCAAUUGUGGUAUUAGAUUGGACAGAAGCAUUUGUUGACCAGACAAUAUCUUGCUUUCCAUCCAUAAGCUUUAGAUUCCCAUCACUGCUGAUUAUCAGCCUUGAAGCCAGGUCAUCUGCUAAGAGUGCAUUUCCUCUGUUUGCGACCCAAACAAUUCUACAAUCGGGAUCAAUCUUGUACCAGAUUCCAAUAUACAGUUCACUUGCGUUACCAGGACUGAAGAAGCCUAAUUCAAAGAUUUGUCCAGUGGAGAUGAGAGUUUGUCCUACCUUGAGUGGUUGGGAUGGAGUUAUGGAGUCAUUUGGUGCACAAUAUACUGGUAAAAUGAAGAGGAUCUUAUAAAACACAAGCAAUAAUAAGCUAGCUUUAUCCAUAUACUAUUUGUUCUCUAUUCACUCUAUUGUCUUUGACGCUAAAAGAGCUUCAAAAAUGUGUCAUCCAUAUGAAUUCUUAAGAUCACUUUCUAGUCUCUUCUUCUUUGUUCUGCCUUGAUACUUAAUCUACUACGGCGUAAUAAAGGUCAAUGAUCAAUAUACAUGAUCAGCAAAUGAACCUCUUGAAUUCAACUAUGCACAACUGCAAGGUGGCUUGAUUAGAUAUAAUUUUCUAGCCUAAUCUUGUUGCUAUGUCAAUAAUCAUCAGGUCAGACAAUCCCUUCCCAGAAAAUGUAAGCAGAAAACUCUUAUUAACCAGGGCGGUUCCUUUUAAAUAAUGCUUUAUGUCUUGCAAAAUAGACAGUUAAGACACGUAUCAAACGAUUGAAUAGAGACAUAUACUAUCCUAGUUUAUUCUUUCUGAUGACGGGGAGACAAAAACAGAAGAAAGAAAAGCAAAGAAAUUAAGGGGAAAUACAUUAAUGGACAAUUUACAAGCAAGCAAUAUAGCUGAGUUGACCAAUAUUACUUGGUGUAUUAAGAUUCGCAAAUGACAGUCACUGGGAUGUUUCCUAUAGCACUAUAAAAGUUGGAAAUUACACUUGAAAUGCUAUCUGCAGGUUGAUGAAGUUUAACUGUAAUUAAAAAAUGUUUCCUCAUAAAAGUUAUAAGAGCGUUCUGAUGAUAUGCAUUAAUAUGACUCAUCUUCUGGUGAUGUAACACUAAUUUUAUAAGAACCUGUUAAUACGUCAAACUUCAACGGUAUCAAGUAAUCAAUAUUCUAGGUCUUUUGUAGCUCUCGUAAGUCCUAAAUGUUGUUUACAUGUUACUACUUCUAACAAUAGUUUAAUUGAAAGAGAUCCAAUGUAAGUGUUAUUCGCCAAUUCCUCCCUAGGAGAGAUGAUUUUGGUUUCGCAACCUCUGCAAAUGAAAUCAUACUCUCACGGUUUAAAAUUUGUAUUCCUGUCAGCAGUCAUCUUCUCUUAUCUGAACAAAACCUGCAUAUUUUUGAAGGAUUUUAAGACACAUAAUGUAAGAUUACUGCCUUCUUGAUCUAAAAAGAAAGAAUAGUAUUGUGGUCUUGACGCUAGUCACCACUGGACUAAUAUCAAAAUUUCGGAGGAUCUUUCAAAAGAAAUUCCAGCAGACCUUUUAUUUUAUUUUUUUCGUGUUUCAACUGUCAAAUAAUUCCUUUCUUGGACAUGCAAGCAUUGAGUCCUUAAUUCAAGUUCGGGCAUGGCAACAUGAUGCUCCUCAUUCAGGACAAAACAUUUUUAAUCUUUUUUUGAAGCACAACUAGCUCAAAUGGAAGCAGCCAACCAAAAUCCGAAUGCUGUUUACAUGAGCGACAGUAUCAAGCACUCUCAUUCUUGCCAAUGAAAAGAUACAGAAAUGAAGUCUGUUUAGAACUUGGAACAAGGACUUAUUGCAUGAACAUUCUCUAUGAUUCUAUCCAAAGUACAAGACUAGUAGGAAAAAAACUACACUUUGCUAAACAGCACCAAUCACCAAUGAAACAAAUUGUGCUAAACCUAUUACAGAUUAACAAGAUAAGGAUCAAUCCUGAACUCUGCACCUUAAUUACAUUAGUAUGUAUCUGAAACGAGCAAUAUUAGCUUGUUCCAAUUCUGUUUUGUCAUGAGUAGACCAUUCAUCGACCUUCAAUCAUUGGAAUACUAACUUCAUUUAUGGAACCAUUGCAUAUACAAACCCCAGAUUGGAAAUGAUCAUGUAGACACCAAAAUUUUAUCUUUUUUAUUUUUUUAAUUUAUUUUUUGUUUCAUCGAAAAAAAAAAAGAAAAAAAGAAAAGAAGUGAAAAGAAAUCAAAUCAGUUUUUGCAAGCAAAAAAAAAAAAAAAAAUUGGGAAGCCACGAGCGCCAUUCCUUCUUCUUCGUUCGAAGAAGAUGAAGCAGAAACAGUACAAGGUCUUGCAGCAAAAUUUCUUGGCCUUUUUCCAUUCUUUUUUCUUCAUUUUUUCGCUCCAUUGGAUCACUCCAGUACCAAUCCACCUGGAUCUAAUCCAAACAUCAGGAAAAUCCCAGGACAAAGGCCAUCUAGUGGCUCAAAAAUCAUCAAGAAAAAUGCAGCUCCAAUCUCCUCCCUUAGUUCUAGGUUUUGGGGGAUUUUGUAGCUAUAAAAGGUCCUAAACACAGCCCUAAAGGGAGAGGAACAAGGGGAUGUGGUGGAAGAGUAGAUAGAGAGAGAAAAGAGAGAGAAAAAGGAAGAAAAGAGAGCAGAAAUUUUUCCAGAAAAUCUUGAGCCAGGGUUGACUUUCUGACCCAAUUUCAGCUCAAAACCCGACAUCAAUUUAGUUAUUUAUGGAGUUUUCUUUGUUGCCGCACCAUCUAAUUUUGUAGAAGGGCAAUUUUUGUUCACAAAACUUCAACAAAAACCGUCUCCAGAAUUCUCAAAUUUUGGCUCGAAAUCAGCCAGUCGUCAGCUCUUGGAUCUUCGUCAGCAAAGAUUUGCAGCUUCAGGCCUUUCAUUUCGACGCGAUUUUUCAAGUUGUUUUGGCUCCAUAAUACCUUAAGAGGUAACCCUCCCUCACUUUCCUCUCUUUUCCAACCUGUUUGCACGUAAAAGUUCAAGAAAUCUGGUCCCUUUUUUGUUCAUGGUGCAUGAGUUUGUGAUUUUGUGCUGGGAUCUGGAACUUGCAUUUGGUAGUAGAAAUCUUGUAUUAAUGGUUGGGGAGGUGCGUGAUUUUGGAUGGGAUUUCAAUCUAAACUUGCGGUUUGUUUCUUUUAUGCAAAAAUUUGGUAAAUGAUUAUGGAGGUUUCAUUUGUGUUGUUGCGGCCCUUCAAAGUUGCAGAGGAUAGUUGCAUAAGCACAGGGGAUCCUCAAUGCCACUUUUUCACUGACGAAAAAUGGCAAUUCAGUACCACUUCUAUAUUUAUGUCAAGUGUCCUAUUUAUUUAAUUUGUCAUGUGCUAUUUAUUUAAAUUUCUUUUACCAUCACGUGAUAAAUGAGAUUGUCACUGAAUUUGACACCGAGUAGUGGCACAGAGGAUCCCAAUUGUUGCAGAAGAAGCUUUCUUCGAACCAGUUGCAUGUGACUUUCUAAAAUUGUAUUUUGUCCCAAUUUUUAAAAUAAUCUUACAUUAUGGCCCAAAAACUUCUGCAAAUGAACCAUUUGGAUCCCUUUUAAAUUUUAAUCAUCUUUUGCAUUUUUCAAACAUGUUUUUGGUCAAGUUAAAUCUGGAUUUUAGGAGAUAAUUAGGGCUUAAUUAAUUUUUGGUAUAUUUAAUACCUUGUUGGGUUUAGUAAAAAUAGAUUAAGACUUGGGUUAAUGUUUUCUUAGGGCUUUUGGGCAGAUUAAUGCUGUGGAUUUUGAUAGGCUUGUAGCAUGGGCUUGAGGGCCAAAGCCCAUGCCAUUUUUGGUUGGGUUUAAUUGGUAAAAGAGUGGGCUGAUCCGCUUCAUUUUUCUUAGACUUCCGGUCGGGCCAAGUGGUCUUGGCCUAAAGAGAAGUCAGACAAUGACCUAAAGGCCCAAUUCCUUAAGUGAUCUGGUGAUAAAAAUUGACACUUAGUCCCUAUACUUUUUAGUAAUUAUGCUAUGUUCCUAAAAAAUUUUAACUUCUUUCAAUUAGGUCCCUAUUUUAAUUCUAUUUUGGUCCCUUAAUUUUAUUUUUAUUUAAUUUUGACCUCUAAUUUUUGUAAUAAUUACAAUUUAUUCCUCAAAAUUUUCUUAAUUUUUAUGAUUAGGUCCCUAAUAGAUUUGAUUUCUUAAAUAGAAGUUGCUUUUCUUCUUUAAUUAUUAAUUAUAUUUCAUUUGAAUGCUUCAAUUGAUAGAUUUCAUGUUUAUUUCCAUUUUUUAUGAUUUAUUUGCUAAUUAAAUUGGUACCUUGAUCAUUUUUGUUAAUUUUGAAGUUAAAUAGGGUAAAUCCAACCCCCAUUAACUACUAUUUCAAGGGAGGUAUCUUCUUUUGUUAUUUUAAAUCCUCUUAUGUGCUCUUAUGUGUUUUUAUGUGUGUAAUUGCAUGAUUUUGAGUGAUUUUUCUUUUAGUUAUUCGUUUUAUUUGUUUUAAGCUUCAUAUAUUUAAUUUAAUUUUGGUGAUUAUUUGAGAAACAUUUAAAUGCCAAAUUGUAAUAGUUAGGUUCAAGACGUGUAUUUAGUUAGAAUAUGUAAUAGAUAGGUUCAAAUUUUGCCUAAAAUAUAUUUAGUUAGAUAAAUGUAAUAGUUAGGUUAUUAUUUUAAAUUUUCCUGUUUAGAUUGUAAUUAGGAUUCCAAAUGUAAUAGUUAGACCCUUAUGUGUGUUUAUUGCUUGUGUGCUUGUAUGUCUAUGUGUUUACGUGUUUUACUCGCUUUCUUAGGAGAUUUGCAUUUAGAUAUUAUGCUUACAUGCUAUGUACUCUAUGUGCUUACGUGCUUACUUGCUUUAAUUACGUUUAUAUGAUUUCUUACGUUAUAAAAAAUGCAUGACGUCACCACACUAGUCCAACGCUAGUUGUGGCCAUUCUCCCCGAUUUCUCACUAAUCCAACGCUAGUGAAGACUUGAUGAAAUGGGCUAGUCUAAUGCUAGACCCUUUAGGCCGUCCACGCGCUAGAAUCACAUGCUUGCGUGACAAUCACUACAUUUCAUACAUAUUUUCUACUUUUUAGGAUCUUUACCAUUUUGCAUGAUAUUUCCUCUAUAUGUAUAUCCCUUAUCCUUAUAUGCGACACGUGAUAUUUAGACUUACAUUCCAUUUAAGAAAAAUUAGAAAUAGGUUAGUUCACCUGCUUGAAUAGAUUAGGGGAGUUGUCCUUCAAAUAUGAGAAAUGGACGAGUAUGGCUUCUUAGUCUUAACACGCUCGUAUUUCCUCUAUAAGAAGGAAAAUUGAAUCACAAAUCUUAGUCCCUCGUACCCGUUAUGUUGCAUUCCUCUUUUUUAGGUCACGGAUAUUUAUAUAUUAUAUUUUUUUCUUUUCUUCGAGUCUCACUCUUUGCAUAUUCGUGACCCCUUCUAAGAAUCAUUUUGGGCAUCACAAUUAAUGUGAUUUACACUGAUUAAACUUUGAAAAGAUAUUUCGACCCUUCAGAUAUCCAUUAAAUCUAGGUUUGCAUCCAAAUGUAAUAAGUUUUAUAGGUUAAAUUAAGAAAAUUUUCGACUAAAUCACGCAACUAGCCUUGACUAGGUUGAAAGGGUGCCUUGGAUUUUAUCCUUGCCUUCCCUUUCUUCAAUCAUGACUCCCGAGCCAUUUUCUCUCAUUUUUUGAAGAUUUGGAGUCGUCUAAAAAGGGUUUUCUCUAUUUUUUAUUUAAAAAUUUAUUUUUAGAUGACUUUGUACACCUAUUCAAUACCAAGGGGCGACUCCUAUUUUUCUUAAAAAUCCUUUCUAAACUAUUAUUUUGGGCCAAAACUGUAAUACUUUUUAAGUCCCAUUUUUGGCCAUUUUUCUUUAUUUAUUCUCUAAAAAUCAAAAACUCAUUUUCACUCAAAAAUAAAUCAAAAAUUCAUUUUUAUAACCCGUAAUUUUAUUUUUCAAAAAAUGAAGCUCGACGGAUCAUAUUGAAGCAAGCUUUGAAACGUAAAUGUCUUGGUUGAGGAUGUUCGAUUUCACUCUCUGAGACCACGCUAUAUUUUGGUAGAGUAAGAACCUCGAGGGGGCCACUGGCCAUUUGGUGAUGCUGGAGGUCAGGGUUCAACCCCUGCCUCUCACAAAUUUGCCACAGUAUGUGGUUGGUCUUAGUUGACCAUCUCCCUUUAUCCCUUUCUCUAGAUUAGACUAGAUUAGGUUAUAGGACAUCUAUCGUUGCAGGAAAAAAAAAAAAAAGAACCUCGAGGGGCGGGGGAGUCACUUUCUUAAGUGCACAUUAAAAACGUGAAGAAGACAACUGUCAUCUGAUUAAAUUUUUUACUUCAAAUUCUCUGAGAUGCUCUCAGGUCUAUAUGAUGAAGAGACAAAAGUUUUAACCUUUUUAGAGGCCAAUGGACAAGGAAAUUCGAGAAAAUUGGAGGGGCAACGCAAAGGGUGAAGCGAGUUUUAGAAGAUUCAGGGGUGCAAACAUUGAAGAAAACUAAUGAACUACUAAUACCUUUGCUAGCCUAAUAUACUGAUGUUUGGAUCAUUUGCCCACCGUCAUUAUUCAGGAAGCACUUGAGGUAAACAAAAUAUAACACAGACGGUGCAUAGCUGAAUCGAGGGCCGCGCAAGAUAAGGAUGGAUUCGAUUUUUCAAUCAAGCUGUUGUUGUAUAAGAUAAUUUGUUCAUUCAUUUUGUUCUGCAUAACUGGUUGAUGAACGAUAAUUACAAAAUAUGAUAUAGACCACAUUUUGUUUUGUUGUUGUGUACACCUAUACUUGUUUAAUUUCAUGCUCUAGUGCAUUGUGUUUGUGAUUUUCAAAACCAUAAUGUCUGCGUUGUUAUGAUGUUUUACUCACUGAACUGACUGUUUUACACUUUGACUGGUAACGCAAAUUGAAUUCCAUCUAGCUCAGUCCUGGUUCUCAUAGCAGAAGAACACACAGGAACUUAACUGUACUCACUAGCUUAGAGUGAAAAAUUCGAUUGAAACUUUUACGUGAAUAAUAUUUCAGUGAAGUAACAGAAGGAUAUUUACUGAAUAGGAAUUUGUCCAAGCAUUACUUUUAUGAAGCUAAACCUAGCAGAAAAAUGGUUAUAGCCUUUUCAAACAGAAAGUCUAAUGCUAUUAAUAGCAGCCAUUUAAUCAAGAAUUCUCAUUCUUAUGGUCCAAUAUUUUUCUCCCUCUCAGCCAUAUAAUCAAUAGUUCUCAUUCCAAAAUAUGGACUUGAUGCAUAAGCACUCUCUAUGAUUCUAUCCGGACAAUAACACUAGUUUGGAAAGAAAAAGGAAAAAAAAGAAGAAAAAAAAAAAGCGAUACUCUGCUAUAGACCACCAAUCUUGAGUGGAUUGUAUGAUGUUAAAAUAUGGUAGCGAUUCACUACAUAAGAGUUAAUCCGAAAUCUGAACCUUAAUUACGUUUAUUUAUACAAUGGUUUUAGUACGAGCUAAAUUCACUUGUCCUAUCCGCGUUUUAUCUUGUGUUGACAACUCAUCGACCUUCAACCACUGAAAUAGUAACAUCAUUUAUGGAGCCAUUGAAUGCUGAAACUCCUGCU
rnacentral:lncRNA from 1 species